CUUAACAGCAACAGUCCAGAGCUGCGAGCAGUCCCAUCGGCCUCAGCUGCUGGGGAACAUGGCCUAGGCCGGCGGCACCAUCGUGCGGCACUGGGCUUCCUAAGGGACCUUGGAGAUACCUGCAGCCCCCGCUUGCAGGGAAAGGUCUGGGCUUUUGGGAACAGGGCUGGCUCAAUUGGGGGAGGAAGAUCAGGACUGGGCCUUACCCUGGGGAACCGGGGUCCUCUGUCCCGGGGCUAGAAGGGAUUGUUUGGAGGGAGCCAGGGACCUUCCUAAGGCCCACUCUCCACUUGUCCCUGGGGAGUCCUGUGGCUGCUUUUGUUCGUGGUGGUGCUACUGCUUGUACUGCUUGACGAGGCAAGACUGGAAGGAGUUCUGCCCUCACCUCUGGGUGUAUUCUGAGAGCAGCCUGACAUACCUGUGUGUUGGGAGGUUUUAGAGGGUCACUCGUUCCGAGACCAAGACGUGGCCAUAUCUGAUGUCAUCCAAGUGUUACUUCCGCAGGUAUAUAACAGACUGGGUUUGUCUCUCUUGGGUUGGAUGAGGCACUGAGUAGGAAAGGAGUCACCCCCAGUAAAUCUCAGGUGAUAAGAGUCUAUACCUGUUUAACAAGAGGAGAGGGCUGUGGCGGGGGCUCUACGGGAUUGGGGUGGGCUCUGAAGUCAGGGUCGAUUCUCUCUUUCUGGAGGGGGGCACACGAUGGGAGCCUUUCCUGGGCCCGGGCUACUGGACUCCUGUCCAUUUAACAGCUCGGCCCAACACACAUUGCCUGAGCAGGGGUAUAGUGCCAGGGACUGACCUACAAAUGUGGUUGUUGAGCAUUCUCCACAUCUGGGUGCCUGUGGUAGGAACAGAGCAUAGGAUAGCUUCUUCUCCCCAGCUUGCUGCCGAGCGUGGAAGGAUUAAAAGGCAGGAGGGAAUCAGGUACGCAUGGGCUCCUAGCUGUUGCAGGAGUGCAGGGGAGUGAGAGGCCAGGCUGGCCUAGUUCCUCGCCUGCCUGGGCUCUGGGACUGCUGGUUGGGGAAGGAUGCCUGGGGUCUGGCUCACAGUGAUUGUUACUCUUGGGCCUGGGCCUGGCCAGGGGCUUUUUUGGGACCAGUCUUCCAUAUUCAAGGGCAAACAGGGGCCGGGAAGGAUCAAUCUUUUCUCUUGCUUAAAAAAAACUGUUCUUCCCACUUCACACACGGACAGUAGUACAUCCCAGCAAUGAUCUGUGAGGGCAGUGAUCACCAGUCAUUUCUCCUGCUUCUCUGCAGAUGUUUCCUGCCAGACCUGCGAGAGUGCUGCUUGCUCUGGCCCUCACCUUGCCAGGUGGGUACUAAAGUGCUUCCAUUCUUUACUCCUGCCUCAGGGUCUUUUGGAACAACUCCCUUCCAGGAAUCAGCAGGUGCGUCUGGAGCUCACCUGUGUGCCAAGUCCCGUGUUAGGCUGGGUUGGGCCUGCCAGAGUCACUGGUUAAUUCUUCCUGUGAAGGUUCUUCAGAGCCCCUUGCCCCUGACUUGUAUUCCUCAAGGAGCAGCUACCUGCAAAUGCCUUCUCUGACUGGACAAUUAAGAAGCACAGGGGUCACACAGAACAGUCUUCUAUGAUGCGGCUGCUGGAUGGGGAAGAAGGAACCCAAGACUUGGACAGAUGACUAGUUUUAGAAGGGAUUGCAGAGGUCAUCUAGUGGAAUCUCCCAUAGUACAGAUGAAGAGACUGAGGGUCAGAGAGGAAAAAUGAAUGCUCCAAAGUCACAUAAAGCAAAGGUCAGAGGUCAGUUCUCCUGGGUCCUAGACCACCACUCGCACUGGACUACAGUGCCUUGCUUCCCUUGCUGAGAUACUGAGUCUGUGAAUGGUGAGAGGGACCCUUUUCUGACUCUGGCUUGUCCCCACUUAGAUCACUCAGGUCAGCAGAAUCCAGCCUGUUGCUCACAGUUUAGUGUGGGGGAAAAAUGUAUAUUUUUCAUACCCUCUACAUCUUCCUACUAGAUGGUUCCUGUGCCAGGGGAUCCAGAAAACUUAACAAUUUACUAUUGUGGUGCCCCACCUGACCACACACACACACACACACACACACACACACACCCACACAGUGUGAAGGUGGUAAGAGGGUCUCCUGGGAGGAAUUAGCUUAUGGCCCUAAAGGAGUUAACACUCCAUAGAUUCUGUGUGUUAGACACACCAGCUAAUUUGUUUGAAUGUAAACUGUUCAAGAUAUAGUAGAUUAAUGUAAAAGGUUGCUCAUUACAACCUUUUAAAAAAUUUGGAAAAAUGCUAAGCACCUAAUAAUAGGGUUAAUAUUAUUAUAAUGUAUAAAUGUAUACAUUUAGAUGUGAAAUAUGCUAUAGUCACUGCAAAACAUGUUUUGCAAGGAUACACAAUGGCAUGAUAAAUUCUUUACAAUACAUUGAGAAAUAAACAGGUUAUAAAUAGUUUGUAUGGGAUGAUCACAAAUUUGUAGAAAACCUGUAAUUAUAUAUCCAUAUGCUGUGAAACAGAAGGAUAAAACUAAAAUGUUAAGUCCAGUUAUCAAAGAAUGUUGGUUAAUGAUGAUUUUACCUUGAUUGAAUUUUUUCUGUGUUCCCCAAAUUUUCUCUGAUGAAGCAUGUAUCACAUUUUAAAUUAGUAAGUAAAUGUCAUUAAAACAAAUAGAUAUUCUGAGAAGCUGUUCCUCUGUUAUUGCUGAGAGUCCUGGGUCAUUUUUGAGGGCCAAAAGCAAGACUUUUUUUUAAAGUGUUUAUUAAUUUUGGGGGGGUGCAGAAAGAGAAGGAGACAGAGAGAAUCCUAAGGAGGCUCCGUGCUAUCAGCACAGAGCCCGAUAUGGGGUUCGAACCAACUAACCAUGAGAUCACGACCUGAGCCGAAAUCAAGAGUUGGACAUUUAACCGACUAAGCCAUCCAAGCGCCCCCAAAAGCAACAGCUUUAGUCUUGCUUGGGAUGGAAAAUACUUCCCUACAGCCCAAUUUUUAUCAGGCACAAGGCUGCAGUGGCUGGAUGGUCCCAGCUGUGCUCACCUGUAGUCUCUCCCUCCAGGGAUCCUUUGUGCAAAAGAGACUGUUGGCAGAUCGUCGAUGGCUCGAUGCAGCCUCUUUGGAGGUGACUUCAUCAACACCUUUGAUGAAAGCAUGUACAGCUUUAUGGGAGACUGCAGUUACCUCCUGGCCGGGGACUGUCAGAAACACUCCUUCUCGCUUAUUGGUGAGUCCGGGGCACUGAAGUGAGGGAUUCAGAGCAGGUGUCAGCUAAGCUCAACCCUACUGUGGGGCUCUAGGGGCAUUCUUCUGGCAGGGCCUGAGCUUGCAGAUCCUUGUGGAACCAUGGAUGGAAAUGGCCUUCCAUGGCCAAGAGCUUCCCUUAGCCUGGCCCUGGGUCUCUCCCAUCGGAGCCUGGUGGGAUGAAGCAAAUAUUUUUCCAGUGGUCAUGUCCAUUGCUCUGAGUCCAGGCAGCACUUUGGGAGCUCCAAAGCAUCAAAAGAAAUGGUGAACCAGAAGAUGCUUUGUAGUACACAGAGCCCCUAGAAAAACGGGAGGGGUCAUUGCUGUGUUCUUGGUGGAAUUCAGAGUACCUACCUGAUGUUGAGCACCUCCUGUGUUCCUGGGAAAGUGCUGGUAUGUGCCUGGGUUAUCGCUGCACCCCACAGUGGCUCUGAGGUGUAGGUACAGGUGCCGAGCCCAAAGAGGUGGUCUGAUCCUCCCAAGGGUUGACAGUAAAAGGAAGAGCUGGAUUUUGAUCCUGGGUUUGUCAGGAUUCAGGAACUUCCCUCUGCACUAAGGAGAGAUGGCACUCUCCAAGGCCAGGAGUGGGGCUGCAGGCAGUGAUGGGGGAUUGUGGUUUGGUGACCUUCACACUCUGAGAAUGAAUCAGAUGUGUGCGAUGUGUGAGUGAGGCUGCUACAAAACCUAGCAAAGACGGGGUCCAUAGCCUCGGGGAGAUGACACGACAAUGGACAGAUCCACAUUGUUAAAACAAAAUCUUUCAUGACACUUGGUAUAGACAGUGAGGAAAGCUUUAUUCAAGAGGGGCCACUGCAAUGGGGGGGUUGCAGUGGGGCAGAGACAUGGGGCUCUACUUCUCCACUCCAAAUGUAACAAGGAUGAGUGGGGACUUUCAGCUGGGUGGGGGUGGAGGGUCAGCGGAUGGAAAAUUACCAAGGGGAAACAUCAAAGGUAACAUCUGGUUAAGCCAACGUGACAGGGUUCUUGCUGAAGUCAGGCCAGGGUGAUAAGUAUUGAUGGAGGGGCAUGAGGAAUUGGUCAGAUAUUGAGGCCAGGGGAUUUUCGAUAAACUAACCCAGCAGGAUUCUUGCUAAACUGAACCAAUCAGACCGAGGACAGAGUCUAAGGUGGAGACCUGACAGAGAGGAGGGCUCAGAGGAGACUGAUCCAGGUUUGGCCAAAGACAGUUUUUGGCAACACUCAGACCCUUGCCGAGAUGCAGGCAGUAGGGCCCCCGGAGAGGUCACUCCACCGGUCUCCAGGGUCUCCCAGGUUGGAUGCAGCCCUCAGUGCUCAAUGUGGGGCGAAGCUGUUUGGGAGCUACAUUAGCUGAUAGCUGCCUUAAUUAUGAGGCUCCCCUGCUUCUUUGGCUGUCACCAUCCACCUUGCCUCUGCUGGAAACCCUGUCACAGUGUGACUUCAGGGCACUGAACUUCGCCAGACUGCCAUUUGUCUUCCUCCUCUGUGAACCCCCCCCCCCCAAGGGCAAGGACCAGGCCUUAUGCAUCUUUGUUUUCUGGUGCUUGGGUGACCGGGGUCUCUGGCAGCACUGAAGGUGAGGGAGGGGAUGGGGAUCCACAAAGCACGGGGCUCUGUUGUACCCAAGAGCCGAUUUCGUGAAAAGCGUGGCAUGUGAGGAGCCCUGGGUGAGGAGUUUUGGUUGGGCAGAGAGGACAGGGCAGGGGAUGUGUGCAGUGGGGAUAGCCUGAACACAGGGAAGAGGCUGGAAGGAAUGCAUGUUCCUUCAGUGCAGCCUAGUGGGGAGGUCGGUGUGGCUGGUUCAGUAGUUCUCAAACUCCAACUUGCAUCAGGAUCUCCGGGACGACUGGUUAAAAACAGGCUGCUGGGCUCCAUGCCCAGGCUUUUGGAGUCAGUGGGUCUGGAGUGGGGCCUGAAGGGCCCAUUUCUAACAAGUUCCUGGAUGCUGCUGCUGCUGCUGGUUUGGGGACCAAAUCUUGAGAAGCGUGGGGCUGAGGAAUAGUGGGAGGUGAGGCAGGAAUGAGGCUGACAGACUGAUGGGAGAGUUUGUUUCCGGAGUCAGCAGCAGUGAGGAGUUACUAUAGAGGCUUGUGCAGUUUGAAGGAUUAAGAAGGAAUUUGCUACUUUGCCAAAAUGGUCAGAAAGGGAGAAAGAGACAGGAGGCUGGGUGGUCUUGGCCAUGAUAACCAGGCAGGGGUGAAAAGGACCACAGACAUCCCCAGGGCAUGACAAAUGGUGGAAGCCAUUCUGAACACUGAACUUGGGGAUCCCCUUUGCUUCAGAGGCAACAGCUGGGGAGUAACUUAGGAGAGCAGCUGCAGAGAAGAAGCACCCUGUCACCUUCUCUGGGAGGCUGAAGGCUGAGGACCUCCUGUCCAAUGUUUACUUUAAGUGGGUUUCUCUACCUUAAAAAUCACAGUACAUUUGCAACAACAUGGAUGGAUCUUGAGGGAUUAUGCUAAAUGAAAUAAGCCAGACAAAGACAAAUACCGUGUGAUCUCACUUUUAUAUAGAAUCUAAAAAAGAAAAAACCAAAACAAAACAAAACCCAAACUCUUAGAAAAAGAGAUCAGAUUUGUGGUUAUCAGAGGUGGGUAAGGUACAAACUUCCAUUUGUAAGAUAGAUCAGUCCAGGAUUUGGGAAGUACAGUAUGGUGACUAAGGUUAACACUGCUGUAGGGUGUAUUUGAAAGUCUCUAAGAGAACAGAUCUUAAAGAUUUUCAUCACAAGGAAAAAACCGUUUCUCUCUCUUUUUCUUGUUUCUUAAAAAAAAAAAAAAAAAAGAUCCAUUGUGGAUUCUUGUAACUCUAUAAUAAAACCCAAAAGUUUUGGGGAUAAUAUGUAAGAUUUAUUUUUUAUUUUUUAAGUUAAACUUUUUAUUUUGAGAUUAGAUUCACAUGCAGUUGUAAAACACACACACACACACACACACACACACACACAAUCUGUGUACCCUUUACCCAGUGCCCCGCAAUCGGUAACAUUGUACAAAAUUAUUCUCAAAUAUUACAACCAUGAAAUUGACAUUGACAUCAUCUACUGAUCUUUCUUUGUGUACUUAGUUCUUUGAAAAAAAUUCAUGUUUUUAUUUUAUUUUUGAGAGAGAGAGAGAGAGAGAGACAGAGAGACAGAGAGAGAGAGAGGGAGUUGGGGAGGGGCAGAGAGCGAGGGAGACAUGGAAUGUGAAGCAGGUUGCAGGCUUUGUGCCUGAUGCGGCGCUCGAACUCAUGGACCGUGAGAUCAUGACCUGAGCUGAAGUUGAAUGUUUAACCAACUGAACCACCCAGGCACCCAUACCAUUUUUUUAAGUAGGCUUUGCACCCAAUGUGGGGCUUGAAGUCAUGGCCCUGAGGUUAAGAGUCGCAUGCUCUACCAACUGAGCCAGUCAGACACCCCUUGUUCUAUGCAUCUUAAAAAAAGUCGUGGUGGGGUUCCAUACAGACACCCUACUUGAGAUGACUCUGGGGUAUCAGUGAGAAUGGAGCAGGUUAGGAGUGACAGGAGAAAGAUUUCAAAAGAAGACACAGUGACAUCCUUUCCACUGUGUGGCUUUGGGCUUCAGGGAACUUUCCAGGGAGGGGGGCCCUACGGAGACACUGGGAGUUGCUGUCUUGAUUACUGCUAUAGACUCCCUACCCUCAAGGUGGAUUUGUAAACAAUGUGUAAUGAAAUCUUAGGACCAGGCACAGAGCUCAUCUGGACUCAGGUAGGCAAGCAGCAUGUUGGAAAAGUCCUCUUCCCCUACUUAAACCCACUCUAGACUCUUCCCUGCUAAGGGUAGGCCUUGAAGACAGGGAAACUCAGGCUGCCUGGGUGUCUCUGUGCAGUCACUGUCACCUCCUCCAGGAAGCCCCACCCCACCACCCACUACUCUGGUCCUGUCCAGCACUGGUCUCAUCAACUUGUGGGGAUUGGAUGUUUUCCAUCCUCUAGGACCAGGUGGCUCUGCUCCCAGUGCCCCUCUGCUCAGAAAAUCAGAGCCCUUGUCUUGGCUCUUCCUCUUCAAUGAGUGUCCUUAGGGAAGUGCGCAAUGUCUCCCAGCCUCCAUUUCCUUGUCUUCAAAAUGGAGAUACAGUGAAGAUCAAGGGAGACAAAUCAUUUACAAGUGUGAAGUGUUACCCAAACCUUAGUGAUUGAAAGCAGUCACCUUUAACACAUGGUGGACACAGGAGCUGCUGGGCCCUUGGGACCGUUUCUGUCAAGGUCAGGGGAACAUCGCUUGGGUUUGUGUCAGAGGCCUGGCCUUUCUGGCCAUCCUUUCUGGGGUUUCAAGGGCCAAGGGGAAACCGCAGGGCUGUGUUAAGCCUCUGUUUCAAAAAUCUUGUUGGGACCCCCGCCCCCACUCUCACUGGGUCAUUGUUCUUUUUUUUUUUUUUUUAAUGUUUAAUUUAGUUUUGAGAGAACGUGAGUGAGGGAGGGGUGGAGAGAGAGGGGGACAGAGGAUCUGAAGUGGGCUCUGUGCUUACAGCAGAGAGUCUGACGUGGGGCUCAAACUCAUGAACUUGAGAUCGUGACACGAGCUAAUGUCGGACACUGCAACUGACUGAGCCACCCUGGCGCCCCCGGGUCAUGGUUAUUAUAACAACUUGUCAGAUGUCAGUUUUCUGGCGGGUAAUUGGCCUAAACCAGAUUAUGGGUUAAUCAUACUUUAACUGAGAUUGGUUUAAUUCCCACCCCGAAUCAUCAGAGAGAAUGGGUGGCUACUUUUUGUGUUUUUGGUGCUGGUGGCAUGGGGGGCAUUGGGAAGAGAGGCAUAAUCUGAGGAGGGCGGGCCUGGGGAGGGGUGAGUCAGUGCAGCUGUUUCAGGAGCCUGAGGCCCCAGGGUCUAUCCUGCACGCUUGGACACAGCAUCUCCAGUUUACAUGUGCAUGCCAGCAACCUCAUAUACUCCUCUGCCCCAUUGUUCUCCAAUGACAUCCUGUUUCCCUGCUUCGAAAUCCCAAAUUUCCAUUCCUCUCCAGUGCCUGCGGACCUUGUUCACAUCCUGGGUAAAGCUGUUUAUGUCCAAGCGUGAAGCACCACCUGGUGCGAAGGGGAGGGCCCUUUCCUUGAUCCUGGCUCUUGGUGGGGCAGGUCUGGGCAGGCCAAAGCUACCAGGGGUUUCCUAGCCCACCAGCACGAGGACCAGGGAGAGAGAGCACUGGAGUCCUGGUGCCCCUCUGCUCAGAAAGGCUGCUUUUCCUAAGCCACCCUGCAGGGUCUGGUUCCCAAGCCAGCCCAGAGAGAGCCAUAGAAUAACCAGACAACGUGCUGAGUCACUUACUCAGCAGGGGGGGCCUUUGUUUCCACAUCAGUAACUGGCGCUGUUAGACCAGAUCCCUGGUUUCUCAGUGUUUGGAAGAUGCACCUGCAUCAGAAUCACAGGAGUGGAGGUGGAGCGUCUGUUAGAAAUGCAUAGUAGUGAGCUCCACAUUCUAAAGUCCGGGAAAUCACCCAGACCUGAUGCUGGCUCCAGCUGCCAGCCUGCCCCCCACUCCUUGUGGGGGAAGACUUACUCCCUCACCUAGUCCCUUGGUCACUGAGUUCAAGAGGCCAGAUGAGAGACAGAGCCUCCCUGGGGAAGAGCUUGCAUGGUUGGCUCUGGCCUCUUGGGGUGGACACCCCGCCCACCUUCCCCCAGCGGUUACAGGAAGUGCUAACGUGCACGUCUGUGGAAUGUGGGAGACCCUUUUGGGCUCAAUUUCCUAAUAGCCGCACGUCAUCAGAUUCCCCCCUGAGUUCUGCAGGGAGGGAAGGAAGCAAAUAAAACAAGCAAAUAAAAUCUAGAGUUCUCUUCUGCAUCAGUGGCUAACUAAAUCCAGAGCACUCAGAUGCCCCGUUAGGCAGCUUUGUGUUUCUAAAGGAGAUUUAGCCUUGGAGUUAGAAAACCUGUGUACAGGCUCUGCCUCUUGAUGACAGGGUAAAGCAAUGGUUCUCACCCAGGGUGAUUCUCCCCCCGAGGACAUACGGCAGUGUCUGGAGAUGUUUUGGAUUGUAACAACUUGGAGGGAGAUGCUACUGGCAUCUAGUGAGUAGAGGUCAGGGAUCCUGCUGAUCACCCUACCAUGUAUCAGAAGGCCCCCACUACAAAGAAGUGUCUGGUCCCAAGUGUCAUUAUUGCUGGGGAGGACAGACCCUGUUGUAAACGUAGGCUUCAGUUUCUCUAACUCUAAAAUGGAGUCAGUCUAGUUCAGUGUUUUUCAAACUGAGUCGUAACUAUGGAUUUAGAAAUAAUUUAAUGAGUGUAACCAGUAUUUAAAGAGAUUACAUGGAAUAGGAUAGAAAAACCUCAGAAAGUAGUCAGGGGGCCUGGCUCACGGGAAGGGCAAGUGGUGUGAAAUGUGUGAGUGUGUGCAUUCUGGGUCAUGCAGUAAACUGUUUUUACUCUGCUUUCGGGGCAAAAGUGUUUUAAAGCCACCUGUUCUGACCAUCCCCAAGAGCUUUCCCGCUGUCAUAAUGUGUUUUUUUUUUCUGUGAUGAAGUCUUCUCCAGGACACAGUUUCCAGAAUCUCCUUGCUGCCCUGCUGCUUUGGGUGUGGAGUGACUGCUCUUAGGGCCUCCCUCGCCGUCCAGGGUCAGGAGUUGUGCAGACUCCUCACAGUUCAGGCCUCGUCAAGGAUCCCAAUCCCAGCUCCCCAGGCUCAGGAAUUCCGAAGACUCCUCACAGUUCAGUCCUCACCAAGGAUCCCAAUCCCGGCUCCCCAGGGCCCCUGGACAAGUGAAGGUCCUGGGCAGCCAGCCCCACCUUCCCUGAACAGGGUGCUGCCUCAACCAGUGCUCUGCUCAGCAGGUGGUGAAAGGUGCUCCCUGGCUUCCUCAUGGUGAUCCCAGCCCCUCAAAUACUUAAACCAGCGCCUGGUCUGAGUCCUGACUCUCUCACCCCUCACUGUCUCUAUGAUGAUGGGCAAGUUACCCUGAGUGUAGCCACCUGGGUGGACCCAAGUCCCUCAGUCUGUGGGGGCAGUCUGCCUUCAUCACUUACUUGCAAAGGGUUGGGGGUCCCAUGUAGCCCCACACAGUGGGAGCCUUUCAACCUUACAGGGAUGAUGAGCUCUAGGUUUCCUAUGGCACCUGGCCUCUGUGGAGCGAGCGAUUGGGGGAUUCUACAUCCCUGAAAGCUCUAAAGAGUUGCAGAUCUUCAUCUGCAGGGCAGUGGCUCACCCCAAGCGGCCUGGUUGCAUGCGAAGCAUUCCCUACUCACCCUCCGGCCACAUGCUCCCUGCUCCCUGGUUGACUUAUUCUCCUGAGCCCUUUUGAAUCCCCAUGAGAGGGAGGGAGACUCUGCAAAGGAGAGGCACAAAGGGACUCUACUCGUUUCCAGGAGGGAGAGGUCUUUGGCUCAGAGGCAACAUACUGGUUGAGUUACCCAGUGAAGGAGGUGUAGGAGCCCCCGUCCAUCUGCUCUGUGACACUGGGCAUGGGUGACAGGGAAAAUUGUACUGAUGAGGAGACAAGUUUCUGUGGUCAUAAGGGAGCUGGAGCCCCUGACUUCUUGGGCUCAUUGCCCACCAUCUCCAGCAGGCAGGUAGUGACUGGAGGCUUGCCCUGUCCCAUGGAUUCAGCCCCAAGAACGGACCCUGGAAGGGAACUGGUUUUUGGUCCACUGCGCAUGCCCAGGGGCAUGGAUGGUUCGGGGGAGGGACUGACUGCCAACCGAGGUUGUCGCGGGGCUAUCCCAUUUGCUUGUUUUCUCAACAUUUUACUACGCAAAUUUACUAAACUACUGCACAACGUUUAGAAACAUUGAAAGAAUAAGACAGUGAACGCCCGUAUGCCCACCACUCGGAUUCUACCAUUAAUGUUCGACUCUAUUUGCCUGAUCACUUAUCUGUGGGGUUGUGUUUAUUUUUCUUUGGCUAAUUUCUUGCUGCCAGAAUGUUUGCUUAACUGUUUAAAGAUGUGCUUGCUGCGAAACUGCUCUAAGUGAAAAUGCAGGGCAGGCAAGACUACCGGGACAAAAGCUCCUCAAGCUAACAGGACAAAAACCCUUUGAUGUGGCUGGGAUCUCAUUUCCCUCCUGACAGCGUUGGUCUGGAGCUCUGUAGAAUGCGGUUUGUGGUCUGUGGGUGGUCUGUGGGCCUUUCCUGGGCCCCCCAUCCCCCCACCCUGAGCUGCUAACAGUGUACCAUUCAGGAAUCUAUUCUUAGAACAGGCCAGUUAUUUACAUGUGACUCCCUCACGGAAAUGUCACCAGAAAGAGUCUAUUUUCUGGUUGGUGAGUGCGCGCGCGCGCAUGCGUGUAAUAGCUAAUCGCGGUCCUCCAGCCUCUGGGUCUGGCCCAGGCCUCAGCUGAAAUCCUCCGCCAAAGACUGUCAGUGGCCCAAGCCAUGGCAGCAGCACCUCUUGCCAGCGUCUCCUGCACUUAGUUCCGCAGACAUUCUUGCCUCCUCUUUUGCUGAGCGGCUGGAGCUCACGCUCUUCUAGGCGAGGGAAUAUUUCCUCAUUUCCAAGGUUAACCUUUUCAGCUGGGUCCUUUGCCGCAUUUCUGCAGGAGCCCUCAGGCACUGAGUCUCAUAUUUGACCCCCUUUUCUCCAGCACUUUCUAUCUCUGUGUUCAUUGCUGCCCUUCAUCUUCCCUGUUUUCAUUAACUUCUUAGUCUCCAAGGCUGAGAUUCAGACUCCACAUUGUUCCUUCUGGUUCCUUCACUUCCUGUGGCCAGUCGGUUAUCUCUGGAGACGGCCAGUUCUCAGGGCCUCCUGGUAGGAUUAGUCUCCAUGGUGCUGUGGAAAAUGGGUCUUCUGCUUCUUUUCCUGCUUUUAGGACACCGCCNNNNCCCCCCCCCCCCCCCCCGCCUCUGUGUUCGCCCCUCACAACUGAACCCUUGUUCACAGACUAUUUUCUUAUGUGUUGACCUAUUCACACAUCUCGAAUGGCAAUAUCAAUCAUUUAUUGCAUCCUGACUUCCUUUCCCGUGCAGAGUGAGGCACUUUGCCGACAGGAUCUCUAAAUUUCUCCCAGAAAAUCAAAUUCAGUAAACUGAUUUCAUGAACUCAUAAAUCUCCAUUUUCAACAAAGAGCCUAGGGAUUCUGGUUUGGGCUGUCUUAAGAGAACAUUACACUAUCCUAGAGUACCUGUUACCAAUAACUCACAAUGUUGCUUUUACUCUCUUUUUGACUGUUUAUCUUAUUUAGAUCAUAAGCUCCCAGAAGAAGGGGUCAUGCUUUCAUAGUUUUCUUUGGAGAAACAGAAGAGACUAUUAGUGGGUUAUGUAUCCAGAAGGCACUCAAUAAAUAUUUCUAGAUGAAUGGAAAAAUGAAUGAGUAAAUGAUAUUUUGGGGAAGAUUUUUGUGGCCCAUUUGAUAAGUUCUUGGGGGGAGUUUCCCACUGAGAUAAGAUUAGUGAUGUGUAUAAGAUGAUGAGAAUUAAACAUAUAAUUUUUUUGAUAAUAAUCACCACUACUGACUUUUUUCUCUUUCAGGGGACUUCCAAAAUGGCAAGAGAGUAAGCCUCUCUGUGUAUCUCGGGGAAUUUUUCGACAUCCAUUUGUUUGUCAAUGGUACUGUGCUGCAGGGGGACCAAAGGUAAAUCAGAAGGCCCGGAAUGCCAGAAUUAAAAAGGACCCUGGGGAUCCCUCUUGCAGUCCUCCUUAUUUUUUGAGAUGAGGGAACUGGAGCCCAGAGUGAGGAAGUCAGUGUGCCUAGGGACAGUGAGUGGCAGGGCUGGGCAAGAGGCCAGUCUCCUGAUCCCUGGUCUAGGUCCUCAGAGACUUGGCACCAAGGUCCCAACCCUGGAGCAUGGGGCUGGGGUUGAAAGGUGGGAGGAACAUCCAGGAAAUUCAUGAGAAGCAUACUUCCUGAGUUCAUCCUUGUCCUUCCAGGAUCUCCAUGCCCUACGCCUCCAACGGGCUGUAUCUAGAGACUGAGGCUGGGUACUAUAAGCUGUCCAGUGAGACCCACGGCUUUGUGGCCAGAAUUGAUGGCAGUGGCAAUUUUCAAAUCCUGCUGUCAGACAGAUACUUCAACAAGACCUGUGGGCUCUGUGGCAACUUUAACAUCUUUGCUGAGGAUGACUUCAGGACUCAAGAAGGUAAGCUUUUGUAAGAUACCUUUUCCCUCAAGUUGUGGUUACACAUGUAAUUUCCCUGCUUACAAACCUUCACUAAGACUUCUCCCUUGCCAUGUUAUAUUUAUCCUACCAACCUUUUUUUUUUUAAGUUUAUUUAUUUAUUUUGAGAGAGAGAGAGAGAGAGAGAGAGAGAGAGAGAGAGAGAGAGAGAGACAGCAAGAGCAGAGGAGGGGCAGAGAGAGAGGUAGAGAGAGAAUCCCAAGCCCCUGAUGCGGGGCUAGAACUCAUGAACUAUGAGAUCGUGACCUGAGCUGAAAUCAAGAGUUGGACACUUAAAUGACUGAGCCACUCAGGUACCCCUCCUGCCAACCUUAUCUCUUAGCAUUCCACCCCACUGCCUGGACCACCUGGCAAACCACAUCUUGGAGCUCCUCAAAGCUGACUUGGUUCAACUUUGAAUUCCCCAUAGCAGCUUACACAUGGUAGAUGGUUGGUAAAUGCUGGAUGGUUUGGAGACUUGAAUGAGUGCAGUAGAACUUUAUGGAUGAAAUCUGUAAAGGACAGCCUGCUGUCCAAAAAGGCCAGUUUAUGUGUCUGUUCAUGAGCAAUAGAAGGUAAUAUGGACAAUGUGGAAACCAUUACUAAUCUUUACUCUUCUUUAGAUAAUUUCAAUUACAUAAACAUUUAAUUAGUGAUGCUCCCUUACAAAAGCUGAACAUUUGUACAUUAAGUUAUUCUUCUUCCUUCUGACUCAACUACCCUCUGAUUAAGGGAGAAGUGUCUAGAGAACAGUUGACCAUUCCUUCCAUUUCACUGUAUGUGUUGGAAAAUAGUGAGAUCAUUUGUUUUUGUCUUUUCCAGCACCAAUUUCUCAAACUUUAUAUUGUCCAAUAUGUACAUUUUGUCCAAUGUGUACAUUUAAGGCUGUAAGUUUUCCUCUAAAUGCCAUCUUAGCUACACCAAUUUUGACAUGUAACAUGUUUUCAUUUUCAUUUAGUUCUAUGGAUUUUCUAAUUUCCAUUGAAUUCUUUCUUAACCUAUAAAGUGUGUUCAAAAUGUUCAGAUGUUUAGACUUUCUAAAGUUAUCUUUUAUAACUAAAUUGAUUUCUAAUUUAGAAGUUUGGGGAGACUUGUUGGUGCCCACCUACAUGAUCUUUUUUUGCAAUUGUUCUAUGUAUGUUCCAAGAGAAUGCAUUCUCUGAUUGGUGCAGGAUUCUAUAUAUACUUUUUGAAUUAAGUUUGUUAAUUGUGUUAUGCAAAUAGUCUAUAUACUUACUACUUUUUUUGUCUGCUUCAACUACCCAUUACUAAGGGAAGUGUAUUAAAUUUUUUUAUGAUCAUGAUGAAUUUGUCAAUUUCUUCAUGUAAUUCUGUCAAGUUUUGCUUUAUCUAUUUUGGGCCUUUGCAGUUAGAUUUUAGAAAUGUUGAAUGUUUCUAGUGAACUGUUCCUUUUAUGUACUGACUCGUCAUUUUUCACAAUGCCUUAAAGUCUGUCUGACAAUAAUAUAUAGUCACCUCACCUUUUUUAAGUCGGUAUUUACUUGAUCUUUUUCGUAUUCUCAACCAGUCCAUGUGGUUUUGUUUCAGAUAUAUUGCAUGAAAGAAGCACAUAGCUGGUUUUUAUUUUAUUAUUAUUUAUUAUUUUAUUUUAUUUUAUUAUUAUUGUAUUAUUUUAUUUUGUUUUAUUUUUAUUUUAUUUUAUUAUUUUAUUGUGUUUUAUUAUUUUUAUUUAUUUAUUUAUUUAUUUAUUUAUUACUAUUUUUAUUUUUUUAUUUUUUUUUAUUUUAUCAAGGUGUCCUUUACAUACAGUAAAACCUAUGCUUCCUGGUCUAUGAGCUUUUGUGAAAGUGUCGAGCCAUGUAACCAUCAUAAACUAUGGAGCAGUGUCCUCGCUGCCAGAAUUCUUGUGCUCCUUUGUAGUUGAGCUCUCCCCCAGCUCCUAGCCCUGGUAGCUCCUGUUCCUAGAGUUCUGAUUUUUCCAAAAUUUAUAUAACUCUAACUCUUCACACUGUACCAAGAGUACUUUGCCUUUUAGUUCUGGCUUCUUUCACUUAAUAUCAUUCCCCCAAGGAUCCAUUUGUGUUGUUUCUGUAACAGUAGAUUGUUCCUGUUUAUAAUUGAAGAGUGCUACCAUGAUUUGUUUAUCCGUUCACCAGUUGAAGGACAUUUUGUCAUGUCUAGUCUUUGGCAAUUAUGGAUAAAGCUGCUAUAAACAUUCAUGUAUAGGGUUCCCCCCCUCCCCAUUAAAAAGAAUUUUUUUUAUUUGAGAGAGAGAGAGUAUGCACACAUGCAGGGGAGGGCAAAGGAGGGGGGGGGAGAGAGAGAGAGAGAGAGAGAGAGAGAGAGAAUCUCAAGCAGGCGCUAUGCUGAGUAUGAAGCCUGUAGCGGGGCUCUAUCGCACGAUCCUGGGAUCGUGACCUGAGCUGAAAUCAAAAGUCAGACGCUCAACUGACUGAGCCACCCAGGCGCCCCACUCUACCUAUUUAAAAAAUUGUGGUAAACACACAUAAAAUGACAUUUACUAUCUUACUCAUUUUUCAGUGCACACCUCAGUGGCAUGAAGUACGCUCACACUGUGGUGUAACCAAUCACCACUAUCCAUCUCCAGAACUCUUAUUAUCUAACAGACCUGAAACCCUAUGCCCAUUAAACCAAACUUCCCAUUCUUUCCUCCUCUUCCCCAGCCCCUGGCAACCAUCAUUCUACUUUCUGUCUCUAUGAUUCUGACUGCUCCAACUGCCUCAUAUAAGUGGAGUCACACAGCAUUUCUCUUUUUGUGACUGGCUUAUUUCACUUAGCGUAAUGUCUUUAUGAUUCAUCCAUACAUCGUAGCACAUGUCACAAUUUCUGGUUUGUUUGUUUUUUUUGUAUUUAAAUCAAUUAUUUCAACACGGCAUUGUUUUAAAUUUGCACCUUGUUUGGUUAACACAUUUCAGUAUCUAGAGAACAGGUUUGAGAACAAGAACAUAAAAGGAUUAUUUGUCAACAAUUUAACAAAAGUGCUUAAGCCCUGUUUUUUUCAGAAGCACAGAUGUGUCAGUCAUGAAGAGUUGCGAAGUUAAGUGGGGAUACACUUACAGAUUUGCUUGGAAAGUAAAAUAUUUACAUACUCACACUGUGCAUUGAAAUGGGAUAUUCUGAAGCGGUACUGCUAUUAUUAAUAAUAAACUCUUAGGAAUAAGUCUCUUUUUUAUUGCAGUAUAAUUAACACAGUGUUAUAUUAGCUUCAGGUGUACAGCAUAAUCAUUGAACGAUUCCACAUUACUCAGUGCUUAUCACCAUAAUUAUAGUCACCAUCUACCACCAAACCAUGUUUUGCAACCUCAUUAGCUGUACUCUCUGUGCUGUACUUUUCAUCUCUUGUUGCAGACUUUGAGGCUGGAGUUCUCUCUUGUCCAGCAAGAGAGAAGAUGCAGAAUUAACUGUGAGAGAGGCUAAUGUCUGGGAGGAGACAAGCGUCCUGAGUAAGGGUCCUUGCUCCAUAUUUAUUAGGAUCAGAAGGCUUACAAACGUGAUGGAUGUCCAUGAAGAGGCAAUGAAACUAUGAACAUUAACUCGUGUGUGAGAGAAAGGGAUUUUGAAGAUAUGCAGUGUUGGGGGUUUGGGUCAGUAGAAAACAAAAUCUCAGCGCCUAGCAGAGGGUUGUUUACUUUAUGGCAGGCACGAGGCACCUGUCUGUUUAUCUUAACUUGCUUACGGCAUAAGACGGAUAGAGCAGGCUACCUCAGGGUCAACAAGGCACGUUUCUUUUGCUAAUUAGCUCAGGUCCUGGCAGUUUCACCCUGCUGCAGUGGUCUAUAGCCCCACUUACCUGUUUACCUAUUCUGGACCUUCUGUCCUGUGAAAGCAGCUUUCUGCUUUUGUACUGUGUUGGGGUCACUUCAGUUCUGUUUACCUAAUCUUGGAUGCUUUCAUCCUAAGACUUGUUAACCCAUUGGUGCAAGCUCAGGGAAUUCCUAAACUUAUUCCCCACAGUCUUUGUGACUUAUUUGUUUUGUAGCUGGAUGUUCAUACCUAUUAAUCCCAUUUAUCUCAUAAUUCCUUCAUUUACAAUGUACAUUGUAUGUAUAUACCACAUUUUGCUUCUCUAUUUAUGCAAUGACGGACACAGGUUGUUUUCAUGUUUAGCUAGAGUAGAUAAUGGUGCAAUGAACAUGGGUGUACAAAUACUUUUUCAAGACCCUGAUUUUAAUCCUUUUGGGUAUAUACCCAGAAGUGGAAUUGCUGGAUCAUGUGGCAAUUCUAUUUUUAAUUCUUUUUUAAAUUAAUUUUUUUGAGUUUAUUUUGAGAGAGUGCACACACAUGCAUGGGCAAGGGGAAGAGAGAGAGGGAGAUAGAGAGAAUCACAAGCAGGUUCUACACUAUCAGUGCAGAGCCUAACAUGGGGCUUGAACUCACAAGCUUGAGAUCAUGACCUGAGCUGAAAUCAAGAGUCGGAUGUUAACCAACUGAGCCACCCAGAUACCCCUAUUCUUAAUUCUUUGAGGAGCUGCCAUACUGUUUUCUACAGUGGCUGUUCCAUUUUCCAUUCUACCCACAGUGCGCAAGGAUUCCAAAUUCUCAUAACCUCACCAACACUUGUUAUUUUCUGUUUUGUUUUGUUUUAUUUUGUUUUGUUUGAUAGUUGCCAUCCUAGUAAGUGUGAGGUGGUAUUCACAUACGGGUUUUUGUGUGGAAGUACACUUAAUUUCUUUGGGAAAAUAUUUAGGAGUGGGAUUAGUGGGUGGUAUAAUGAGCAUAUGUUUAAUAUGAUAAACUGCCAAACUGUUUCUUAAGUUGGCCAUGUUCUCUGCAUUUGUCCCAGCAACGUAUGAGUUCCAGUUGCUCUGAGUCAUUACCAGCAUUUGGAAUUGCCACAUUAUUAUUAUUAUUAUUAUUCUCUUAGCUAUUUUAAUAGAUGUGUAAUGGUAUCUUACUAUAUCUCAUUAUUGUUUAUUUAUUUAUUUAUGUUUUGGGAGAAAGCGUGAGUGGGGGAGAGGGACAGAAGGAGAGAGAGAGAAUCCCAAGCAGGCUCUGUGCUGUCAGCACAGAGCCCAAUGUAGGGCUUGAUCCCAUGACCCUGGUAUCAUGACCAGAGCCAAAAUCAAGUCAGACACUCAACUGACUGAACCACCCAGGCACCCCUCAUUAUUGAUAUUUUAAUGUAAAUUAAUCAUUUCUGUCUUCUCAAUGUAAAGUUUGGCUUCUUUUCAUUCAUUUUAUAUUCAGUUGUGUUGAUGUAUUUGGACUUCUAUUAACCAUCUUAUUUUGUGCUUUCUAUUAUUACUGCUUUUUAAAAUGCUACUUCUUUCCCUACUACCUCACUAACCUCCCAAUCUUGUUUGAAUACCACUAAAUUUGACAUUACUAUGAUAGAUUUACACAAUCAGUGCUUCUUUAGCUAUAUCCUCAUGUUUAACAGGUUCUUUGCUCAUAAUUUCUCCUUGCAUCUUAUUCUUUUUUUCUAGGUUCAACUUCUAUUUUUCUAAAAAAUAUCCCUUAGUACUUCCUUCAUUAAGGGUCUGGUAGUGGUAACAGUGAUAACUGAAACAAACAGCCAUGCAUUCUUAUAUGAUACUUUAGCUAGGUAUAGAAUUCUAGGGCAUCAGUCAUUUCUCACAGUGCUUUGAAGAUGCCAUUCUAUUGUUGCUGUUGAGAAGAAGGUUGCCAGUCCAAUUGUUAAUUGCAUUGCAUAUAGUAUUCUAUCUUUGUACGUAAGUCAUCUCUUUGUUCUUGUGUUCUGAAAUUUUACUAUGUUGUGUCUAGAUGUGGGUUUUAUAUUUAUUAUCUUACUUGAGACUGUGAUGCCUGAAUCUCAGGACUUGUAUUUUCCAUCAGAUUUAGAAAACUUCCAGUCAUUUUCUCUCCUGUUAGAUGUAUAUUGUAUAUUUGUAUUGCAUCCUUUUUUUUUUCUCAUUACUUUACUUUUAUUUUGCUAUCUCUCUAUUCCUCUCUGUUGCUUUUUGGGUGCGCUCAUGCUGGCUGCUAAGAAUGGAUUGUGAGCAUCUUUUCCAAGUCUGCAUUCAGUACUGUCAUGUUGGUAGCUUGAAGUUGGCCAUGGUUGGAGUAUUUGCACCAUGGAAAUCAGCAAAUCCUAAAAACCAGGGUUUUGCUUUUCUCCAGAUGGCUGGCUCAUCAGCACAUCAUGUCUUAGGUCUAUCUUCUAGUUCCCUAAUUCCCUCAACUCUGUCUAAUCUCCAGAUGAUGUCUAACCCAUCAGUUGAGUUUUCUUUCUAUUUCCUUGACUAUAUUUGUAACUUUAGAAGGUAAAUGCGGUUCUUUUUCAACUCUAUUGUUUUUUUUCUUAUUGUCUUGUCCUUUUAUCAGGUUUCAAUUUCUUCAUAUUUAUAACAAGAAUUUUAAGUAUAUUUGUUUUUUAUAACCUCUGUAAAAGAAUGAAAUUAUUUGAAGUUUUUUGGAGUUCUCACAGUAUGUUAGAAAGCAGAUAAGCCUGUGUGACGUGGUGACUCAGAACCCAGAGAGCACUUAUCAUAAUGCCUGGCACAUAGUAGAAACUCCAUAAAUUUAAAUGCCCUUCCUUUUGGCUUCUCCAUGGCUUAAAACAACAGAAGUCUAAUCUCUCACAAUUUCUGGAGGCCAAAUGGCUGAAGUCAAGGUGAUGGUAGGGCUCUACUCCCUCCAGAGGCCCUAGGGGAGAAUCUCUUCCUUGCUUCUUCCAACUACUGUGAGCAAUCCUUGAUGUGGCUGCAUCAUCUCGACCUCUGCCUGUCACAACAUUGUUUCCUCUCUCUCUCUCUCUCUUUCUCUUUCUCUCUCUCUCUCUCAGUCACCUCCUGCUGCCUUCCUCUUGUAAGGAUACAUGUGAUUGCAUCUAAGGCUGACUUAGGUAAUCCGAGAUAAGCUCUUCCUCUCAAGAUCCUUAACUCAAUCACGUCUUUUGCCCUAUAAGAUAAUUCAUAGGUUCCAAGAAUUAGGAAAUGAAUCUUUGGAGGGGGCCAUUUUCCCUGCUUACCCCACCCCAGAUGCCAACUGACAAUACUUCCAAUGUCCUGCUUUUCUUUCCCUCAGGAUUUUCUAUUUUGUUUUCUUGAGUAUAUGAUUUGACCUUGAAACAUGCUUCACUCUUCCGGACCUGGCUAUGCAAAAGGACCACUUGCCUCAAUGCUUCAUUAGUCUGUUUGCAGUGAAGACUCAGCAGUGACAUUGGGUAUCUCCUUUGUUGUGUAAGCCCAUAGGCCCUUGCUCUGUUGUGGGAGCCAAUGGUGGCAUGGCUGGUAUGAGACCAAGGCACAGAUGCUGUGAAAGCACGGGGGAUGUGGUGACUGGGGGCUCAGGUUCCAUGUCACAUUCUUACCUUCAUUCUGCAAAAAUGUUUCAAGUGUCUACAAUGCCCCAGCUAGGAAUUCAGAGAUAAGAGACACAGCCUGUACCCUGAAUUAGGGAGCUCACAGUUGAAUGCAGUAUGACUAUAAACAAAGGAAAUACCAACACAAUGAAGGAUGAGGGUUUUGAUGGAAGGGUGGCCGUGGUGCUGAGGGAGCACAGGCUGGGGUGGGGGGCAGGGAGUAGAACUAGUUCAGAAGGGCUUCCUGGAGGAAGUGGCUCUGGAGCCGCAUCUCAAAGAAUGAGCGGAGAGAGUCAAGGUAAUAAGGGGGUGCAGAGGGGAAAGGUGCACAAGGGCAUGGAGACAGAGUGAACAGGCAUGUUCCUCAUUGUCUUCCAUGUCAUCUUCCUCACUGUACCCCCCCAAACACUGACCUCUGAGUGCCCGUGCGCUAUGGUGUUAUGCUGAGCACUGCACAGAAGUUACUCCCCACCCAGACGCCUAAGUACCGAUCUAAUGGAAGGUUGAUUCAGGUGAUGACAAACCUAGAGUUUUCCCUUAGAAGUCCUGGGUCAGGCUUAACUGUGAAUUCAUUCUCCUUGAAACUUUCUCCACAGGGACCUUGACCUCGGACCCCUACGACUUUGCCAACUCCUGGGCCCUGAGCAGUGGGGAACAACAGUGCAAACGAGCAUCCCCUCCCAGCAGCCCGUGCAACAUCUCAUCUGAGGAAAUGCAGAAGGUGGGUAUAGCCCAGGCUGGAUGUGGUCUGAAUGCAGUGGGACUUCUGGAAUUAAGAAGCAGAAAGUCAUCUGUUCUCUAGUCCUCCACUGAGAUGCAGAGUGGGCCUAACUCUGCGGGUCCCUCUGACUCUUCAAAGAGGGGUUCCCAUGGGCCCCUUUUCUCCUGAAAACCAACUAUGGCUGGAGUCAGGUUGGCUCUAGUCUAAUACUGCUCUGGGCCUGGAGCUCUAAAAUGUCUGUCCAGUGAGUGGGUGUAGUGAGCAAAUAGACUUUUCUGUUUUUGUUUUUAAUUAAAAAAAAAUGUUUAUUUUUGAGAGAGAGAGAGAGAGACAGAGAGAUAGAGCAUGAAUGGGGAGGGACAGAGAGAGAUGGAGACACAGAAUCUGAAGAGCAGGUUCCAGGCUCUGAGCUGUCAGCACAGAGCCUGAUGUGGGGCUCGAACUCACAAACCGUGAGAUCAUGACCUGAGUGGAAGUCAGAUGCUUAACCGACUGAGCUACUCAGGUGCUCCUAGACUUUUCUGUUUUAUACUCCAGUGCCCUCUCUUGUGCCCAAAUAUCUCCACCAUUGCCUGCCGCCUGUCUGAAAUUCUGCGAUAGGAAACAGUUCCUUUUUAGGUGUUCAAUAAGUGGUUGUUCUAAAGUAUAAAUAGGAGGACAAGGCCCCUAGGUCUUAUCAGCACAUCAGCAAGAAGAGGGUUACUUUAUAAUUAGGGAAGCUGAGGGAAGAGGAGGGCCUGGGUGUGAUGGCAAAUUAAUCUCAAAAUUCGUGGCUUACAACAAUAGGAAGGUAUUCUCUCAUAUUUCCGGAGACCAGAAGUCUCAGUGUGGUUUCCUUGGGCCAAGAUCAAGGUGUCCGUAGGGCUGCUGUCCCUUGGGAGGCUCUAGGGGAGACUCCUAGUUCCAGUGUCUGGUGGCUGUGGCAUUCCUUGGCCUGUGGCCACAUCAAUCCAGUGGCUGCCUCUAUGGUCACAUGGCUUCCUAUUGUCUGUGUGCCUCUGCCGUGAGACUCAGUACUGAUGGUGGUACCUCCCCUCCCUUUCUCUGCAGCUCAUAUUUCUAACCAUAUGGUAGCUCCUCAGAAGCUUCUUCCCUUUCAGAGUUGCCUCUUAGGACCCCACUACCAGAACCUUCACCUUGGAGGAGAGGGGGUCUGGCGGGAGGGAGUGCACAGGACUGAAUCCUGCCUCUACCUUCUUCAGGUGGUAGCCUUUGUAUCUUGGUGGUUAGGGUGUUGGGAGGGUGAUGCUUUAGGUGGGGAAAGACCUCCCUUGAUGGACGACCCUACUUCCCCUUGGAGUUGGGCUGCUGGGACUGAGGGAGGAGAAACAGCCUGUCACUGGGGUGAAGCUGGGCCCUUGUCAGCACAGGGAUUGUCCUAGUGAGGCAGGGACUCACUGUCUGGGGGGUUUUCUUGGAGGUGUUGUAAGUCACGCCCCCCCUGUGCAGGGAAUGACUGGGGACCUGUCAGGAGCAGCGUCUGUAGGGGGAGAGAGAGGCCAUGCUGGGUGUGGGGAAGGUGAACAGCCAUGUAGCUACAACUGGGGCCUCAGCUGAUCCUUCAAGGAGCUCUGAAAGCUGGGGUGGCCCCGCUAGACAAGCCUGUACUGACCCGCUGGUCACUGGAUAUAGGAUUCCUUUGGGCAGGGAGGCUUGGGCUGAGGACAAUGCCUGCAGAUGACUCCGCUGUGAGUCUUUACCAGCCAACCCUCUAGGCCGUGAGUGGAUGAGUCCUUGGCUUUGAAGGGCAUCUACGCUGUACCCUACAACCCCUGUGGAGCCGGCCACUUAACAGCACCAUCUCCCAGCCUCCAUCCAGGGAGCAACCACCCUGUUCCAUCCCACAGGAAGAGGGUGGUCCCUGCUUCUGUCCAGGACCACAGCCAUGACAGGACUUGACAGGCCACAGUGGGCCUGUACAGUUCUGCAGGGAGAUGAGGAAAUCACAGCCAUGGGAGGUUAAGUAGCUGCCAAAGUCACCAGCUAACAAGCUUCAGGGUCACAAUUCACUGUCUCUGGCUUCACCCCCCUCCCUCCUCCCUUGUUCUGGCUGCAUUGCCUCAGGCUGCUUGUUAUCUCUGCCUGUGGCCCUUGAGUUUUCCCUCAGGAGUUGGCUUCCAGGAUUCUUAUGGUUCCUUUCAGCUCUAAAACUUUGUGUGUUUCUGUGGAUUGGGCUAGAAAGUCAGUUUAUAAUAAGUUGCAAUAAACAUUCAGUGGGAAUAGGCAGUGGUAUGUGUCUGGAGAUUGGGACAGCCUCCAUGGUAUUAACCCCCAGUCAGCCCUUGCAGAAGUCUGAUCUUCCCCAAGUCUGCACAAAAGUAGAGAACUCCAGCUCUCUCCUACUCCAGAAGCAAAAUAAACACACACACACACACACACACACACACACACACACGAGAGAGAGAGAGAGAGAGAGAGAGAGAGAGAGCGCUUCAUUACUGGCUGGUUACUCACGCAGUGAGUCUUUUCUGUUUUUGUGGAACAGUCUGAUCUCCUGAACCAAGGACCGUGUCAGGCACAGGAAAACUAUUCUAACUUGAUGUUUCAUCCAGCUGCCUAGAUUGUAAACACAAUUUCCAAUUUAUAAACAAGCACAUUCCCAAUGCCUCUUUUUUGUGUUGCCAGUGUUUCAAUCGUGCUAGGUUUCUGGCUAGCCCACGAACAUCCGUGGCACCUGGAACGUAGCCCAGUACCAGCCACUGACCGAGGCAGACCAAGUUCUAACACCCGAGGGGAGGGUGAGGUUGUGUGGAAGAGAGUAGCUUCCUCUUCUUUCCAGGAAAACUUUGAAAUAUCUGGUCCUUGCCCUUGGUAGUUCCUUGAUAUUCUCAUCCGUGGGCCUCAGCAUUAUGCUAAAGAUAUGGGUGUGGGGUCAGGCCACUUCCUGGCUCUGUAACUGAGUGAGACAUGAACUUCUCCAAGCAUCAGCUCCUGCAGAAUAAAGUAGGCAUAGGAAGAGUGGCCGCUGCACAGGACCACAGUUCAGGACGAGAGAGAGAGACUAUGGGUAGGCUGUUUAGCCCGGUGGGGCUCAAUCCUAUGAACUGUUCUUGUUAUUAUUAUCAUUAUUUAUUGGCUCCUGAUGUUCUCCCGCUGUCUGCUCACUGCUGCAGCAUCUGUACUAUGGGAUGGGAAGAAGCCAGACACACUCAGGACUUUAAGCAUAAACUCCAAAAUUAAAUUUUUCCCCCCACCCUCCUCCCAGUUGUAACCCCGUUCCUUUUGGGGAGCUGAGCCCAGUGUGAGGUUAGAAGAGAAGGUGUCUGGGGGCGCCUGGGUGGCUCAGUUGAGUGUCCAACUUUGGCUCAGGUCGUGAUCUUGAGGUUUGUGAGUUCAAGCCCCACUUCUGGCUCUCUGUUGUCUGCAACAGAGACUACUUCGGAUCCUCUGUCCCUCUCUCUUUUGGCCUCUACUCCGCUCACACUCUCUCUCUCUCAAAAAUAAAAAUUAAAAAAAAAAAGGAGAGAAGAUGUCUGAACACAGCCACAUCGAGGGAUGGGGAAGUGACAGAAGCCAAAUUUUCUUCCAGAGCUGCUUGGUAGUAGCCCAAGUGAAUUUCAGAUUGAGUGCCCUCAAGGAUCAUGUGCAGUGAGGGGCAGAAAGAGAGAGUUUUUAUCAUUUUUGUCUUUUAUGUCCUAACUUACCAUUUUGUGGCUGGCAGGUGGUUCACUCUCUCCACCCUUCAGUGUUUGCUAGGCAGGGGUGGGAUUAAGGCAGGGGGUGCUGCAGUGGUGAGGUCGUGGUGGGGCCACAUAAGUCCUUCUGAUAUUGAAUGGCUCUUUGAGGGCAUGGGUUUUGUCUUACUUUAUUUUGCACAGGCCAGCACAGAGUAAGUGCUGGAUGAAUAUUCCCCCACCCUCGGAGUACAAAGGAGUACUCCCAUUUAUCCAUAAGAAGUGGGAGAUGAAGACAGGGUUUUCACAUGGAGAACCUGAUACUGGCUUGAGUUGAGGAAGGAGACAGGGCACUUUGUCUCCUGGAGAUGAAGGGGAAGGAGGGACAAAGAAUCCAUGAGAAGCCUUGUUUGUCUCCCCGCCAACCCCCCAACUUUUGGAGGCUCCAGCUGCAGGCUUGCUACUCACUUUGUCUCCUGGGUGCAUUAAAGUCCUUACUAACCAGCGCCCUGGGAGCAGCCUGAGAAAUUGGUUACCAAGUUCUUAAUGCUGGGCUGAGGCCCCCAAACGCACCAGACCUCCCGAGGCACAAGCUCCUUCAAGCUCAGAACUAGCUUCAGGGUUGUUUACCUGAGAAGGGAGACCUGACUUUGUCUUAGCCAAUUAGGUUGUGUUCACUCAAGUCUGGGGUGCUCUCAUUGGUUGGGAAGCACAGCAACUCAUCUCCUGGGAGGUGAUUAGUGCCAUCUUUGGAAGGAAUUGUUCACAGCCUGCUUAGUCCCCUGGGCCCCUGGGUUCAGAAGUCAGGUCUGGUAAAUGGGCAUCAUUUACAAGUGCUUGCCAUUGUGGCUCUAAGGACUAUUUUACGGUGGCAGAAUGUUCUGUGGGGAAGACUGCAUUGACCUAAGAACUUUUCUUGAGAGCCACCAGAAUCUAUUCUCCCCACUUCUCUGGGGCGUACCUUCUUUCCAGGCCAGUAGCAAGAAGUUAGCUUCUUCUGAGGCAGGUCAUAUUACGUAUACCUAGGGAAUGAAUGUUUCCUUGUUAUGCCAACAAAACCCAGCGCCUCUCUACUGGGACUGAAUAAUGGCUUGUUUGAUUGCAUGCAAAUUUACAGUUUUUUCAGCUUUAGAAACAGAAGGCAGGGCUGCUAGAGUCUGGAGCUCAGAGUGGCAGACCCAGUAGUAAGAAGCCCCAAGCUCUAAAUGCUCAGAUAAUUAAUGAUGAUUUCAGGUAACUCUACUACACAAUUAACAUUUUAGAAACAUUCUUAGGUUGCCUUUUUUUUUUUAAAUUUACAUUCUUUCAGUUUGGGUACUGUCUGCAAGGGCUGAAUCUUAUAAAAGGAUCCUGUCUUUGUCCUCAGUGCUCACUAUAGCAUGAAGCCCAAGGCUGCAGCUGGUCCAUCCAAUGCUCUUGCUAGUUAGAAAAAGGUGCCCCUUCCUGAAGGCACUUUACCGCUGUCUAUUGGGAAAUCACCAUAAUAAUCAUUAGAAAUGUACAUAGAAUGUACGUGGACAUGUGUGGUGUCCACAAUGUGAACGAUAACCCCGUGGCAUAUUGCCAUUUUACACUGUAUGACCUGCGGAAAUAUAUUCGAUGGUCAUGACCUUGGCCUCACUUCCGCUGGGAAAUGCAGUUGCUGCAGCCAUCCUCCUCCCCAGGAUCACCUCUCCCAGACUGGGAAGGCCAUCUCCCGCUUUUGCUGCUGCCAUCUGCAUGUGAGGUUGCUUUUGUGGCUCCGGCUCCAAGGAUUCUCUCUGUAUUCCCCAGAGUUGGUCCUCAAGAUGGCCAGUCUUUCUUGAGAAGACUGAGUGCACCAUUUAUCACUCAGCCUUCUGGUGGUGAAUUUCCCAGCAACAGCAGCAGCCUCAGGCAGGUGUCUGGAGCAGAAGAAAAUUUUUAAAUCAACGUCAGGACUCUUAGGCUUCUCAUAACUCAGAGUGGUAGUGAGCCCAUGUGCUUGUGGUGGGAUGGGCAUGACCUUGACCGGGUGCUUUUGGGGGUUUAGCCUUAUAGCAGAGAUCAGAGGCUGCCACAGGGUUUCAGAGAUUACCCUCAAAUCAAGCAGAACACGACUUUUUAGUAUACUUAUUUGACGAACCCUUGAGGAGGGUCAGAUGAGGUUUUAGUACUCAAGCUUUCAAUUCAAAGGCCUUCCUAACAUAAGAAUCUCAAAAUCCCUUAACAAGUGUCUUUCUUUCCCUUUUCCUCCCCCUCUGGUGAGGAGAAGAAUGAGCAAGAAUCUGAUGGUGCCUAUUCGAACAUAUUUAUUGAGGUAUUUUGUGUGGCUUGGGUGAUACCAAACUAUGAAAGUUGGAUUGCAGUCCUGUUCAGGGGACAAAACACAUAAGACAAAUUGAACAACCAUGAAAGAGAAAAUGCAAAUGCCAUCUUGGGUCAGUAGAGGACGAAUUACCAAAAGAAUGGUGAAUGGUAUCACAAAGCUGAUGAUCUUUCCUUACUGGGAGCAGGAUGAGUAGAGUGGUUCCACCCCAGAGCUUGGACAGACCCCAAACUGGGAACCUGGGGAUGGUGCUUGGCCCUUCUCCCAGCCAGCCACGCCCUGCCCUGAUCCCUGAUGAUUGCUCACAUGCCUCCCAGAAGACCAAGGCACAGGGUGAGGAGGGUCCUUUGGGAUACAGGGACUUCUGUGACAUAUCCAGUUACCCUACUUCUCAUGAGGGCUGUACCCCAAUCACCUCAGAAAGAGAAAUGUCCAACUCCACAAAACAAAACAAAACAAAACAAAACAAAACAAAACAAAACACAUCCAUUUGGUAGAAACCUAUCAACCAGUUUCACGGGGGCUUUGUGAGUCAGAUCUUGGAAUGUGGGUAGGAAUCCCAGGCCAGCCAGAAGAUAUAAAUAGAAUCAGCCACCCCCCUCAUCCAUCCUUGCUGGCUGACCAAUGACAAACUGUGCCCCACCACAGGGGUGAAUUCUUGAACCCACUACUCUGGGUCAGUUCAGGCGCCAGGCGCCCCCAUACCUCCCCCAGGGGCAGCCACAGGACACCCACCCCAGGGCUGGAAAGAUCAGGGCCUGGGUGAACAAUCUUGCACUUUAUUUAUUAGCUUCUCCUUUCUUUGUUCACUUCAGUCCUAGGAAUGCCCCCUCCCUUGUCCUUCGUCAGCUGUUUGGGAACAAACACAAUAGCUAAGCUUUAGAUCUCUUGCCACUGCUUUUUCUCUUCCCCGCUGUCUGCCACUGGGGAGAUGAGCUUCUUUUCUGUCUCCCUCCCUCGAACCGCCUUGGCAUCUCCAGAGAAGAGGCCUGGACUUCUUUAAUGAACUGAAAAUGUGAUUAUGUUGGGCUACAAUUGGGUCUGCGCACCCACCCGGGCAGGAUGAAGUCAUGGGCUGAUGGAGCUGGGCUAGAUAUUUCUUGACAGCCUCUGGCACCACAGACAAGAGAUGAAGGAGGAUAGAAGUAGCCAAUGCCGGGCACUGGAGCCAGGGAGAUGCUGGAAGUGUGCAAAAGAGCUGACCAUCGUAUGUCUCUGCCAGAAUGGUUCAGCAGAGAGCUGAGGAGAAUAACCAUUUUCGAACUGUGUGGCUAGUAUGGACAACAGACCGAUGAUAGUAGUUCUAAGCCCUUGAUUGCCUUUCCUGUGUAACCUCAUUUAGUUUUAUUUUGCAGCAACUGGCUUCGAUAGGUAUUGCUGUCUGUGUUAGGAGUAGGUUCCUCUGUGAGUGACUGUACACCCAAAGUAACAAGGGCUUACACAACAUAGAAGUUUAUUGCUCUUUCUCGGUGUAGAGAACUUGGGUGGAAUGUCCAGGGCUAGCACAGGGUACCACGUGUUGAGAUCCAGGGUCCUUCUGUCUCGUUUCUCUGUUGUUGUUGACAUGAAGCUUCCAGUUCAUGGUCCAAGAUGGCAGCUCAUGCCUCAAGCAUCACAACCAUAUUCUAGCAGUGGGGAGAGAAGGAGCUAAGAAAGAAGCGCCCUCUCCUUUUGGGGACGUUGCCUCGAAUGUUGCCCAUGACCCUUCUGCUUAUGUCCUAGUAGGCAAAGCUUAGUUAUGUCCAUUCCUGGCAACUGGGGAGGUGAAGAAAUAGAAUCUUUGUUCCCAGCGGGCAUGUGCCCAGGAGACAGUUGAAAUUUGAAGGUUCUAUGACUAAGAAAAAAGGGAAGAACAGAUCCUGGGCAACUUUCAAUCUCUGCUACACCCUGCCUUCUUUAUAGGUGAGGAAACAGGUGCAGAGGGCAAGAUAAUUUUCCUACACACACACACACACACACACACACACACACACACACACACACACUAUGGAAGUGACAGGGUUGGGAUUGCAGUCCAACCAUGCUUCUAAAAGCUGUGCUUUAUCUGCUGUACUACACUGUUGUCUAACCUGGUUGUGAGGAAACAGUUGGCGAGGUGUGGCUUGCCAAUGUGGCAGUUUCCACAUUGAGGGUGUGGAAAACCAUGUAAAUGGUGGUUUGGUGACAGGUGACUGAUGGAAUCAGGCUUUGAGCCCUGCUUGGUACAGCAGUUUGUAAAUUACUUAGCUGACACUCUUAAAAAUGAUAGAGGAUGGGAAAGAGAUUUUCUGUCUAUUUAUUUAUGUAUUUAAUGUUUAUUUAUUUUUGAGAGACAGAGACAGUGUGAACAGGGGAGGGGCAGAGAAAGAGGGAGACACAGAAUCUGAAGCAGUUUUCAGGCUCUGGGCUGUCAGCACAGAGCCCGAUGAGGGGCGUGAACUCAUGAACUGCGAGAUCAUGACCUGAGCCAAAGUUGGACGCUUAACUGACUAAGCCACCCAGGCACCCCGGGAAAGAGAUUUUCUGUGGAUUAUCUAUUGAUUAUGGAUUUGGAUUUUCUAUUGGUACAUACUAUAUUAGACAAUAAAACAGAAAUGUAAAACAUAUUCACUUAAAAAUAAUAAACACAUUAUAUUUAACAUGGAUGCCAUCUUUUUAAUAAAAAGAACUAUAAAUUCCAACAGAAAAUGUGGAGAAAGAAAAAUGGCAUUGUUUCACAGUUUUGCAAAUCUCUUUCCUAUCUGGCUUAAGAGAAAUCAGCUGGAUUCCCAUGUCAGCUUCUGUAGUCAGUCUGUUGUGAUAUCACAUACCAUGUAGCCUCUGGAAAAUUCCACUGGGCACUCAUGAAAGAGUGAGAGCAUAAAGGUCAAAUAACAUCUUACUAUUAUUAUAAAAAUAUUUUCGAUCUUAUGGAGCCCUGAAAGGAUCUUGGGAAUCCGUAGGAGGUUCCUGGACUACACUUUGUGAACCACUGACCUAGUUAAUGUUUUACUCUCUCUAUGCCUCAGUUUCCGAAUCUGAAAGACUGUCUCUCUUGCCUUUCUCCAAGGAGGUUUGCGUUCUUUGAAGGUGUUGCAGGCUCAUGAAGGGCAAGUUUGUGGGAGCAAGUGCUGAGGCGGUCUCUGAAAUAACUGUUUGCUCUGGGGACAUGGGUGAUGCGAGAGAAGGGGCGUGGGGGGGGGGGGGGGGGGGGGAAUGAGCUGGAGUCAGAUCCUAAAAGGCCUGGCCUUACUGCCUUUCUAAGGAGCUAGGACUUUGCCCUUUAGGCUGUGGUGGGACACCGUCAGAUUUGCCUUGUAUCCUGACCUAGGCAUAUGCUAGAGACCUAGAGACCACAUGACCAGUGCUUGCUGAGUGAAGGUUUGGUCACCUCCUACCUGACGACAUCUCUCCCCAGGAUCUGAGAGGACACGAGGUCGGCUCCAUCUUGGACUUUUUUCUGUCUUGGCACCUGGCCUGGCCUGGUAGGGCUACCUGUGGUGGAGUGGGGAAGGCUGGGGGGGAGAGGCACCAUGCUGCACUGGGGGCCCUCAGACGGUGGUCAUGCUACCAUGACCUACUAGGCCAAGUUCAGGCCAGAGCUGACCGAAGGAAGACUGGAGGGCAAGAUGGAAAGACAAACUUUCCCUUUUGUCUCUGUUGAGGAAGAAAUCCUAGCCAGAUUUUCAGGUGCAGACACAGAGGGCAAAGGCAUUGUUCUAAGAAGGGAGGUGGCUGUUUCUGCAGAAAUCCACUCCCAUCCUGCAAGCGAAUAGUCAGAAAACACCCUUCUUGCUGCAGCUUUCUAUAAACCAUUUAGUACCUCAAGGGACCUCCCAGGAAAUGUGCUGAAAUACUGGUCCCAUUCUUCCUCUGAGCAGGGAACAGACAUCUUUGGGCCAGCUGGAGACGGGUCAUGCCGGCCUCUGCCCCACAUCGCUCUCAAAGUGGGAGGAGAUGUCUAGACUCCUGGGUCUCUUCUUUCCUCUGGUUGACACUGUGCUUGGCUGGUGAGAACCCUAGGUCCCUGUGCCUGUGCGAGAUGUCCUGUGGGCUGCUCCAGACCCUGUCCUACAGCCUAGGUGAUGACACUAUCAUCCCAUGGAGUUGCCUUUUUGGGUUUUUCUCUAGUUGUAAAUUGUGGGUGAGGAGAAAGGUAGGCAAGAGCCUGAGCAUCCAGUCUUCUCUGGGACACCCUUGGCUGCCCUUUAAGGGUCCAGGAACCUCACUUUCUGAGGGAAAUUUCUCAUGGGGCACGCUGUGGCAUUUCCAUGGGGGCAUUUCCAUGGCAGAAUGGAAAGAACUGGACGCAGGCCUCAGCCUCCUCCCCUGAGCCUGAGGAGAGUUGUAGACCCACCUGGUACAAAGAAGAGUUGGUCCUUCUCCCAUCACCCCACUUGAAAGAAACCCACUUUGUUCCGGAGGAGUAUGAGCCUCUCAAAUAGCAGAUGAAGGAGAGCAGCCCCUCUGUUCACCUCAGAGUCUCCAAGAUGAUAGUAGUGUGAUAAUGUUGUCAUGGCAACCAUUCAUCCCUGUUUAGCCUGGGGAGAUGGAGAUGGGGGGAAAGGGACAAAGAUGUCCUUCUGUCCUGCUGGUGAGUUGCCCACCAUUCUGGAGGAUAAGCCUAUUGGCAGAAGGGACAGGAGGGACCAGGAUUCUCUGGUGACCAGGAGAUCCAUGAUGAUAAUAUGGAGUCGCCAUUUAUUAGGUGAAACUUUUACAUGGGUUAUUUCAUUCAGUCUUCACUACCAUCUCAUCAGAUAGGAGCUGUUACUAUUAUCCCCAUUUUGUAGAGGAGGAGGGGUUAAGCAAAUAGCCAAAGGUCAUACAGCUAGCAGGUGGAAGAGGCAAAACUCACAUCUGGGGCUGUGAAGUCAUAACAAGUCCAGGGACUCUUCCUGGCAUUGUCUUCAGAGACCUCAGUUUCCCCUGUGUAAAGGGCUCAGGGUGGCAAAUGGAAGGAGGCAUGCCAUAGCCCAAGACCUCAGUGGUCACGGGUGACCCUACUGCCAUCUUCAUUCGUCGACUGCUUGCUCAGUGCCAGGCACUGCGGUGCCUUCCCACCACCUGCGAGGCAGCGCCUGUUGGUAUCAUUCCCAUGUUACCCAAGGACACCCUUCUCCAGCGAGGCAAGGAGGUUUGCCUCAAUCCCCACUGCCAGGAAGUGGCAGAGCUGGGCUUAAGCCAGAGCGCGCUCUCAGCCGCACAGUGGGUGUGGAGUCUCCAAGCUGAUGGGAAGGAAGCCAGAAAAGUGGAGUCCUGGAGGGAGUGCCGCUCUCAGCCGUUGGCUUCCAAGACGUGGGGCUGCUAAUUGUCCGGGCAGGCAGGUCUGCAGCUGCAGCUUCGCAGUUCAGCAGCCCUCGCAGCUGCGGCUUUGCUAACAGGCGGAGGGAACCAGCCACACCCAACUGCUUGGGCCAGCUGGCCCUGGACCUCCUUCGGAGUCCCUCCUGCCCCCGGGCCGGUGUGAUCAGGUGCAGCUGUGACAUUCCUCCCUGCUGCCUAGUUCCGAUGGCAGACUGUGCAGGCUCGGUGGGGUGCGGGGGCCCCAGCUCAGGGCCCCUGUGGGCAGGAUGUGGAUUUUCCCUGGGACCACAGCUUGUCCCUGGAGCUGCCAGGGCGGGUCUUGAGGAUGGUGAGCAGUGUUGGGUCAGAUUUCUAUUCCUCCGGGCUUUCCACGUUGCCACAAAAGACCCCCCUCCCAGCCUGGCUCUUGAUUUACACAGGCUUGCUCUGGCCAUCCUUUGGGACAGUUUGAGCAGAUUGGAUUUCCUUCUCUUCAAACCUAUCAUUUCUUCCCUCUUUUUUACUGUCCCUUUUGUGAACACUGAUUUGCUCUGGUUUAUCCUUCAGGACUCAGCCUUCCAUUGAGAUGCUCUUGUAGUUCUUUCUUUUUAGCUGAAGGUUGUUUUUGUUUUUUUUUUUUAAGUAUUGAUUUAUUUAUUUUUAAGUAGGCUCCGUGCCCAACAAAGGGCUCAAACUCACGACCCUGAGAUCAAGAGUCGCGUUCUCUACCGACUGAGCCAGCCAGGCACCCCUUGGCCGAAGGUUUUAAGUCCACGGACUAAUUCUCCAGUCUGAGAGCAUGUCUAUGCAUGAAAAAGCUGAUGCCCCAGCAGGGAGCACCUAUGGUGACCAUACUGUAUUGUCUCAAGUCCAGGACAUGUCAUUGUUCCAUGUAUCACUAAGAAAGAAAACCUGAGGAACAAAGAGAAGGAAAGUAACUGGGAGUGAGAGGCGGAGAAAUCACACUGGGGAAGCCUGUUAUCAGGGCCAGUGAUUAUUCAACUCAGUUAGUUGCCUGAUUUACUUUGAAAAUAGUGUGAACAAAUUAAAAACAAAUUCUUUUAUGUGGUCUGUACAUUCUCUUUGGGUUUUGUUUUGAUCAAUAUUCUGACACAGAGGACAGAUGCCACUCUAGACAAUUUGAAUAAAAAGGAUUUAUUACACCAGGUCAGAUGGCUUAGCGGUUAUUAAGACGGCUGAAUGAAACUCCGUAGGAUGAGAGUCCAGAAGACAUUCUCAAGUCAAAAAAAAAAAAAAAAAGCUGCCAAUUGAAGUUGUUAUUGAUUGUAAGAUGCACACUAAGUUCAGAGAUUUUAUUUUAUUUUGUCUUGUCGCAGAAAGAAAAUUUUAUUUGCAGCAAAGAAGGAGCUCAUGGGGAAUGGCUUCUAAAGCUGUGCCUCCCAACUUCAGAGGUUUUAAACUGCAAAAAAAAAAAAAAAGUACAUUUAGAAUCAUUAAGACACAGAACACAGAGAUGUUUACAAGUACAAUAUAUAGGGAUGUUUGUGCUAACAUGUUACUAGAAUAGUCAAUGAUGAUUCUGAACCUGCCCUGUGUUGUUGGGUUGAGGGUAUCAACAAGGUGGCAAAAUCCAAGGACAGCCCUUGCCUGGCAGAGGAUCUCAGGGACAUUUUCUAGAAUCCUAGCUUGUUUUUGCGGGUAGGAGCUGGUUCCGUCUGGCCCCAGGAAUCACCUGGUGAAUGCCCGGAAAGUGUACUGCACCCCGAUAUGCUGAAUGUAAAUCUCAGCAGUGUCUGCUUUAUGUAGCUCCUGGUGCCAUAUCCUCCUGUAUGGUGGGGAAGACCCAGAUGGGGAGAGGGGGCUGCUGGGUCAGUGCAAAGCAGACCCUCGUCAGCAUUCCUGAUGGCCCGACUCCAAGCUCAGCACCCUUCACUCCCCUCCCUCUGCUCGUUCCUUUCCUAGGACCCCGCCUGUCACUGCUGUUCAGAGUGUCAGUGCUGUGGGUUCUGCAAGUUCAGGGCUCAAUCUGGGAGAUAACCUGAGUCUCUGUCCAUCUCUUGUAGCAUGAGUUCAGGAUUUUGCCUCUGAUGGCUGGACCCUCUAAUCUGACAAAUGUUGAUAAGCACCUCCUAGAUGUCAGGAAUGAAGGAGCUUCCUCAGUUUUCCCGGCGAGAGUGGUUCUUCGUGGAGCCACAUUCAGGAAGCCGGGACUGCGGGGUGCUGUUCUGCACUGAAGUGGUGUCUCAUUCCUGCAGGGCCUGUGGGAGCAGUGUCAGCUUCUGAAGAGUGCCUCGGUGUUUGCCCGCUGCCACCCCCUGGUGGACCCCGAGCCUUUUGUGGCCCUGUGUGAAAAGAUUCUGUGCACGUGUGCCCAGGGGCUGCGGUGCCCAUGCGUGGCCCUCUUGGAGUAUGCCCGGGCCUGUGCCCAGCAGGGGAUGGUCUUGUACGGCUGGACCGACCACACUGCAUGCCGUAAGUCAACACCCACCCUCCCAGCUGGGCAUGAGUGGUGUCUGUCCUGGAGUGUCACUAGGGAAGCCCUGGGACAGUGUCACGAUCCUGGGCCUUUGCCACACCCCAACCGGCCGGUGCCUGCAGGGCCUCCAGUGCCUGGGCCACCUGGUCACAGAGGGCUGGCCCGCAGGCGGAAUCCCCUCCCUUGAAAGCUGCAGCUGGGAAGACCUUCCCAUGCCUCUGUUCUGUGCCAUGCCUCCCCUCGCCCUCCGCCCCCCCGCCCCCCGACUCGGGAAAUCUGUUGCCUGGACUUGAGAAACAUCCUCCUUCCCUCAUGGGACCCUCAGCCAUCCUGAUCCCAAUUCACAUCUUCACUGCCUGUCUGUCUGAAUUGACGAGGAACAGGGCGUUGUCCCAACUAUCCACGGGGUGAUCUUGGAGAGCCUGGCAGGCUGUCAUUACAUCCUUCUCUUGUAUUAACCCAGCCUUCCUUCCUCUGGCCACACUGCUUAUCUGUCCCUCCCCCCCCCCCCCCCCCCCCCCCCCCCCCNGACUUGGUGAUGCCCGGGGUUUGGAUCUCCCAGUCUUAGUGGGCCCCUCAUCAUUGUCAUUGUCACCAUUCCCACAUUAUCGUAACUGAGUAGGAGCUUCUCUGGUUACCUUGUAAAAAGCUUCCUCUCUCUGCAGACUUUCCCUAGAUCAAAAGCCAUGCAGAUGGACAGUCUGCGAUAAUCAUACAGGUCAUCCCGGCUGAUAGAGACAGAGCGGGGAGCCGGAUAUUUACACCACACACAUGUUUCUCAGUGUGUGUUUUUUCAGUUUAUAAAUUAGAGCUUUUAUCUUUGCUGUGGAGGUGUGAGAAGGGGGUAAUUAGCAGCUGGUUUCUCCUCUGUGAGGUGGAGUGGCUGAGUUUUUAGUUUUUUGAAGAUAGGGUAGGGGGAGAUGCCUGACGUAUCUUGGAGGAGAAGGGGUUGGGGACAAUCGUUUGGUGUUGUGAAGCCCAGAAAAGAGCGUUGGUGUGUUCCAGUUCUUCAGCUGCUCUGAGCCUCAGUUAGCCACGGGGUCGAGAGACUAAAGAGAGCCAGGCCCUGCCCAGGAGGAGCUGGGUCCAGCGGAAGGGGACAGAUGCUUAGGCGAUAAGGCUCCGAAGGCAGUCUUGCAGCACAGUGGAAAAUAAAUGUGGAGUGAAUGUCACCCACGUGGGGAAGGUGGGCAUGAAUGGCGUGCACCCCGUGCUGGGUGGGGCCUUUGGUUGGGGCCAAAUUCAUGAGGAAAGUGGGGCCCUUAGAGGAGGGGUGUGAUGGAGGACACAUUUACCUCUUGUUUGGCCCCAGGAGGACAUUUAUUUUUAGCUUAGAGGAGUUUGGUAUUACUUUGAGACGGUUUUAGGUGAAAGGGACCAAAAAAAUCCCAAGCUCUUCGUGGAAAACAGAUGACCGAGGGGAAGGGGUGGUGGUCCCAGGUGACCCUGUUGAGUCUUGGCCAGGCCUUACAAGAUGGAAGAUAUUCCUUCAGGGGAGGGUGGUUGGCAGGAUGGUCUUGGAGGGCAUGUUGGCCAUUUGGGUGCCAUUGGGGUGAAGAAGGCCCCUGGGGCCCUGAAGACAGAGGGGAGAAGCAAAAGAACAUGAAGGCUCUGAGUACAUAUGAGGCUCUCUCUGGGAGGGAGCUGCUCUGGGGAGACCCCUGGCUUUUCCAUUUCAGGACCGGCAUGUCCUGCUGGCAUGGAGUAUAAGGAAUGCGUGUCCCCUUGCGCCAGAACUUGCCAGAGCCUGCACGUCAAAGAAGUGUGUCAGGAGCAAUGCGUGGACGGCUGCAGCUGCCCUGGUAAUAAACUCAUUUUAUUCACAAAUCCGAGACCUUGCCAGUGCCCUGGGCUUGGGGAAGCCAGAUGAAGGCUACUUGUGUUUGCUCCCCAUUGCUAAAAUCAGAAGCCUUUUAUUUAUUUUUCAAAAGUCUUUGUACUGAGUGAUCAGGAUUGAGCUGGCGUUUAUUUGUAAUUGAUGUUUUCCUGUUGUACUGUAUCCAUGAAAGCGCAUGUGUCUAGGAAACAGAAGGAUGGUCUGGGCUCCAACAGUGACUUUGUUUGGGGAGCAUGUGACCCAAUCUGAGCUGCGGUUUUGUUUUCUCAGUGAAGUGUCGGGGAAGCGGUCUGAGUGAACGAUCUUUUAAAAUGUCUCCUGGGUUUGCCACAUGAGCUCAACUGAAAGAGAGCUUUGCACUAGAAAGUUUUUCUCAGGAGAGGCUGAGCUUUGGUGAAAAACCCUGUUUAAUUACAGAGAGUGAGGCCUGUGUGUUUGGACUCUCCUGACUUGCCCACUUGGAAGACCUUGAACAAAAUUCUUGCCUCCUUUCUUCACCUGUGGAAUGGAGAUUAAUAAUGCCCUCUCUUUCAUUGCAUUAAUGUGAAAGGUCAACAUCACACAACAAGUUUUUGGAGCUUCCGGGGAGAAGCCCUCAGCCUAGACUCCUGACCCCCUCACUGGUAGACCUUGAGCAAAGCCCUUUCCCCCAUUUCUUCAGCAGUAGAGAGGAGAUUCAUAAUCCCCCUCUCCCAGGUUGCACAAACGUGGGAGAGCAACAGUGCAGGACAGGUUCUUUGAGCUUCCUGGAAGAAGCCCUCGGCUGUGAUCAUUCGUGGGGAUUCUGUAGUUGGGAGAUGAGCAAUGAUGGUAAGUUGAGUCUUUGCCUCGAUGCCCUUGAACACAGAGGGACAGCUCCUGGAUGAAGGCCGCUGUGUGGAAAGCGCUGAGUGUUCGUGUGUGCACGCCGGGAAGCGGUACCCUCCGGGAGCCUCCCUCUCGCAGGACUGCAACACCUGGUAGCUGGGGCUGUGCGCUGUGGGCUGGGGUGGGGGAGGGGGUGCACUGGGUAGUGGCAGGUGCGACAGGACCUGGUUGGGCAGAGGGAGGAGAGGCAGAGAUGAGGUGGUUUGGGAGGGUGGAGAAGUCGUUGACGAGGAGCAAGGAUGGUGUUAUGGAUGGGCCUAGAGGAGGGGGUCAGGGAGGGAAGGACGCUUUAAGUGCGAACAUCAUCUCUAGCUUUCCCCCCCAAACUAUGCUUUAGUUAAUGGCUCUCUCUGAAGAAGGACUGUAUGACAGUCACCAUGCCACAGGCAGUUUUCUCCUUGAAUACAUAACCCUUUGUUCCACAUCCAGGCCUCUUUCCUUUGCUGUCGUUUCCUUGCUUGGCUGUAUCCCAGGAGUCCCCAUGGGCUGCCUGGCGUGGUCCUGGGUUGUCAUUUUCAGCAGCCCCCCUGUUCUCUCUUCCCCUAGCUGUGUGGGGGUAGGGAGCAGUUGGGGGAGUAGGAAUUUUCUGGGUGGCUGGUGGAUUUUCAGGGACAUUGGGUCCCCUAGGUUUUCUUCUUCCAUCUCUCCAUCAGGGCUUCUUCCCCUUGGCAUGAUCUCCAAGAUUCCUCUGUGGCCACAGCCCUGUGCUGUUCACCUUUAACCUCAUAAAGAUCCCCCCUCACGCCAGCUCCUUUCUCUUCCCAGAUCCCUUCCUUUUGGGGGCUGUGGUAUCUGUGACGAGCUCUUGAUCUGUUCAUGUACCCUUGUGUUUGCACAACUACCCAUGACCUGUGCUGCUCUCCCCAACAGCAUUUGCCGAAAUAGCCUGUGGGUCUGCAGCAAUGAAGAAUGCCCAGGUAGGUGACCUUUUGCUCAUUCCCUCCCUCCUCUGAAUGGAGAGGUGUGUCAUCCUUGCCAGACAGGGAGGGCCACAUCUCAAGGCAGGGAGGAGGUGGCCUCUGCACCACAGCUGUGGCCCCCUGACUACAGCUGUGGUUUCUGAUACCAGCUGUGCUAACCCACUCAUGGGCCAGCAGAAGGACAUCUUGUGUAGCUGAAAGGGCAGAAUGCACCUGGUCUAAGGUUUUAUUGUUGUUUUCUGGUCACCUGUUUGCUCAAAGGAUUAUGGUUGAAUGAGCUGUAAGGACUGUGAGGUCACAGUUGACUAAACAAAGAUGAUGCAAAUUCUUUGGAAAUUAAGAGGAAGAAGGGCCCAGUAAUUCUUUAAGCUCAGAGUGAGAAGUUUCUGGAAUGCCUGAUAGGAAGAUCUUAGAAUGGCCCAGGAGCUAGGAAAAUCAGAUCACCAAAUGAUUUCUUCUACUCCAUCCCCUCCCUGGAAAAUGUCCUUACAGGAAAAGUUGCUGUAUAAUCUCUGCCCUUUACUUGGUCUUCUGUUUGGCCCUAACUCUAUUCUAUUUGCUGCAAACUUUGCCCAUUAGAAGCUCCCUUCUGCCUCACCCCUCCCCUCCCCAAUAACACGGGCUCUUCACUUGAUAAUUUUCCCUUUUGUGCUCACUCACGUGGUGUUUGCUAUGUGUUAGGCUGUGUGCUAGGCGCUUUACAUGUGAGUCUGUGAGGCAGGUGCAGUUUAUUCUAGGUUUACAAAAGAGGAAGCAGAGCCAGAGAGGUUAUAUAACUUGCUCAGUGUCACACGGCCGCUAAGAGACAAUGACAGGACUCAUACUCCAACUAUCUGAUUUCUACUUUUCUCCUUCCCUUUACUCCCCUUCCUGGUCAUCAAUCUAUUCCUUUGCAGGAAGGUCUUUCCAUCCUUUAUGAGCUCUGGAGAGACCCCACAUUUGGUUAAAGACCAGCUUAGCCUCAGAUCGUAUGCUGGAUACUACUUUUUGGGUUCCCAUGGUUUGUACAGUGGAAUAAAAAACUGAAGACAAAUAGCCAGAUAACAGGCUCCCCUCUCUUAGGCCCCAAGAGGCCACAUUGGCUUUGGUGGACUACCAGGGGCUUGAGCUUGGAUACUAGGAUCAUAUUUGGGGCCUAUGGCUUUAGGGUCAUUUAGGAACUUACUAUACUGGAAAUAUUCUGAAACUAGAUGGAAAGUGGGCACUAGGGCUAGGUCAACUACUCUGGCUCACGGAUGGCCAACCAGCCAGUUUAUCUUCUGUGCAAUUUAAAAUAAAAAUUUUUUUUGAUGUUUGUUUAUUUUUUAGAGAGAGAGGAGACAGAGCACUAGCAGGGGAGGGGCAGGGAGAGAGGGAGACACAGAAUCUGAACCAGGCUCCAGGCUCUGAGCUGUCAGCACAGAACCUGAUGUGGGGCUCAAGCUCACAAGCUGCGAGAUCAUGACCCGAGCUGAAGUUGGAUGCUCAACCGACUAAGCCACCCAGGCACCCCUCUUCUGUGCAAUUUUUAAAGGAAGCAUGAAGGACAAAAGAUUGUUCUUGCCACUGAUAUCAGUGCUCCAAUUUAACAUCAUCACACCCUGUGAAAGACCUAAGGAAUCCUUUGAAAGAUAAAAGGUUGCUGCAAAUGACUUGUGAAAAAACUUUUAAUAUCUAAAUCAUAAGCAUUCACUGUAUAAGAUCUGUUGAGCCACAAUGGAUGGAAUUAGGAAUUUACUUAACUGUGUUUUGUCAGAUUGACUACCAGAUUAAGAAUUCUUUAAAAAAAAUUUUUUUUAAUGUUUAUUCAUUUUUGAGAGACAGAGAGAACAGAGCUUGAGUGGGGGAAGGGCAGAGAGAGAGGGAGGGAGAAUCCAAAGCAGGCUCUAGGCUCUGAGCUGUCAGCACAGAGCCUGACGUGGGGCUUGAACUCACUAACUGCGAGAUCGUGACCUGAGCUGAAGUCGGACACUCAAUCACCUGAGCCACCCAGGUGCCCCCCAGAUUAAGAAUUAUUAAUUACCACUUUCUAUAGGGAGCAUCUUCCACCCACCCGUCCACUCAUCCAUCCACCCGUCCAAUCAACCAUCCAUUCAUCCCUCCAUCCCUCCAUCUACCCACCUACCCGUCCAUCCAUUCAUCCAUCCAUGCAUGCAAACAUCAUCCAUAUAUCCAUCUAACCAACAAUUCAUCCAUCCAUCUGUCCACCUACCAUCUGUCCGUCCAUUCAUCCAUCCAACCAUCCAUUCAUUCAUCCAUCCAUCCAUCCAUCCAUCCACCCAUCCACUAUCCAUACAUCUAUCCAUCUAUCUACCCAUCCAACAAUGACUGGAACACUCACUGUGCACAUGAUGGAAUGCUUGGUCUGGAACAGACAAUACAAUUCCCUGGUCUUCAAUUCAAAAUUUAGAAGCUAGCUUUGCUGAGGAUGAAAGAAAUUUUCUUGAUGCUUUAUGGGAAGAUAACCAGUUCCAACUCUGGAGUCUACUGGGUAGUUUGAUAUUUUGCCAACACAAUCACUAAGCUUUCGUUCUGUAUAUUCAAAGCCUCAGCUCUGACCCUCUUUUUCUAGUACUGGAGUUUAGUUGGUCAUCUCCCACUCUGUUUUUACCUAUAGCACAUAGGCAUAUUUCUAUUCCUUGCCAUGAUUCAGCUGGCAGUGGGCCUGUCUUAUGCCCUCAUUGUGACGAUUGCUGGUAGAGCUUCUGAUGGAAAGGUUCUGGAAGGGGAUAUACUUGGCUUUGCUAGUAUAGCCAAGAGCAGGCUGUGGCUUUUCCAUAGUCCCUGGAAGAGCUGACAUUGUGAGCCUUAGAAAUAGAGAGCUGGGUUUUGAUUCUGUGAGAUAAGAUGAGAGUGUACCAGUUAUUUAUUAUUGUGUAACAAAUUACCCCAACUUAGCAAACAACAAACAUUUAUUAUCUUAGAGUUUCCAUAUGUCAAGUAUCUGGGUGUGGCUAAGUCUGGCCCAAGGUUUCUCAAGAAACUGUAGUCAAGUUGUUGACUUGGGCUAUGGUCUUAUCUGAAGGCUCUAUAGGGACUGAGGAGGACACGUUGAAGCUUAGUCACGUGAUGGUUGGCAGGCCUCAGCCUCUCACUAUGUGGACCUCUCCUUGGGGAUGCCCCAUGACAUGACAGCUGGCUUCCUUUAGGGUGAGUGAUAUCAGAGAGAGUGAAGGAGAGCAGUCAAGGCAGAAGCCAUGGUCUUUUAAAACCCUGAUCUCCAAAGUGACAUCCUUCACUUCUGCUGUAUUAUAUUUACUAGAAACAAGUCAACAUGUCUAGUCUACACUCAAGGUGAGGGGAUCACAUAAAGACAUGAAUAUAGGAGGUGGGACCAUGGCAGGGGGAGAUUCUUAGCAGCUACCUGGCACAGCACAUAUGUAUAGGGAGUGGGAGGGAGAAGAAGUUGCCCAGGGGAGCAUCAGUCUAUAUAUAGAGGGGCUGGAACUUUUGUUAAAUGCUCCUUAGGCCUUCACUGCUCAUUGCAUCCCUCUGUUCUGGUUAAGAGUUAGGGCAACUCCAGGCAUAACUGUGGUUUCCCCAUAGUCUGCAGACUUCCCUUUCUGUAACCUCAAGCUUCCCUUCCCAUCCUCUGCAAAACACACUGCCCAGAGAAGUGCUGCUAAUUUGGCUCCCAUUGAACCAUAAAUGUUUGGUUAGGAUCAGUGAGGAAGGAGUAUGCCUAUUAAUAGGGACUAUUCCUCAAACACAUAAUGCUCUGGUUAGAAUUUCAGACUCCUGAUGGAAGAGUGUGGAAGGUUCUUUCUUGCAGCUGGGAAGGUGGGAGUGGAGGGCUUCUCAUUUGCCCAUCCUGUGCGCAUGGACAGGUAGCAUUGCAGGGGGCCAAGGGAAUGGGCUGUGCACUCAGUCAGCCUGGCUGGGAUUCCAGUCCCACCACUUACUAGCUGGGUGACAUCUAGCAAACUGUCUGAUCAUUUGUAGCCUCAGUUUCCUCAUCAGCAUCCUAACACAGGGAUGAUAACAGCAGCUUCAUCUCAUGGAAGCUGUUGCUUGAGCUUCCAAUAAGCACAAUAAGCACUCAAUAAGCACUCAAUAAAUGUUAGCCAUUUUCAUCCUCGCAGUCAUAACUGCCUCAUUAAGCGGAGUCAGAGAAGGACUGAGACACAGGCACACAUGCAGAGGUGUCUGGCACGGGCAAGGGUGGUGGGAGGCAGGGUGUGGCUGGGGCCGGCGGGGCAGGAGGGUAAGACAGAGCCUGGGCCUACCUUGAGCUUGGCCGUGAGACAGGGGAGGGCCUUGACGUAACUUGUUACUCAUUUGGUUCUGGAUAAUUUCUGAUGCAUUCUAACACAGCCCUGUAAGUCAACCUUAGGAUUCAAGCUGUCUGUUCUGAAGCUUUCAGGAAGGAAGACAGACUUCCUCAUUGGCUAACAGAGAGUGAUCAGGGCCAAUGCCUGUCCAGGGAGAGCAAACUUUCCUAGGUGCCUGGGCUUGCCUGGGAGAUCUGAAUGCCUGAGUUCAUGCGAAGUCUCCUGGGGCCUGCCCCGGCCAAUACUGGGGUUUCUGGAGUCACGCCGGGCCACUGUCAGGACGGGCCAGUGCACCCCCUUUAGAAACCGGGGCUCCCUUCCACUCAGUCUCCAUAUGAGACUUAUGAGAAAUUAGGCUUAUGAGAAACUGCAGGAGCGAAGACAUGAAGCGGUGUUGGGUGGUGUGAGUGCUUUGAGCUCUGGAGGCAGACAGAAUGCUUAUGCUCAAAUCCCCAUCUGACCACCUUGGGGCCGUGGGCGAGUUUCUCUCUGUGCUUUAGUUUCCUCAUCUAUGAACUGGGGAUAAUGAGGACUGCCUCCUGGGAGCAGUAAAUGAGAUGGUACCUACGGAGCACUUAGAAAUGCAUCUUGUGCAUUUGGAGAUUAUGUUAUUGUGAUUUAGAGGCAGGCUUUGGUAAAACUUAACGUUGGGGGAAGUCUGUGUUCCUUUGCUAAAGGCCUGUGGGCUGGCGUUUCUGUAGGGUGCGUGGAAAAGCAUGGAAGCAGAUGGGCUGAGCAGAGAAGCCCCUUAGAGGGCUCACUUCCUGCAAACAAAAGGGUUUAUUUUAGAAGAGGUAAUGUGUGGGGCGCCUGGGUGGCGCAGUCGGUUAAGCGUCCGACUUCAGCCAGGUCACGAUCUCGCGGUCUGUGAGUUCGAGCCCCGCGUCGGGCUCUGGGCUGAUGGCUCAGAGCCUGGAGCCUGUUUCCGAUUCUGUGUCUCCCUCUCUCUCUGCCCCUCCCCCGUUCAUGCUCUGUCUCUCUCUGUCCCCAAAAAAAUAAAUAAACGUUGAAAAAAAAAAUUUUAGAAGAGGUAAUGUGUUUCCAUCAGAUGAGAGAUAUCUUUUCCUUUUCCUUUUUUUUUUUUUUUUAAAUCAGGGAGGAUCUUUACUCAUGUAGUGGGUCUGCUUUAAUUCCUGGCUGUUCAGGGGUGCGGGGUGGCUCAGUCAGUUAAGCGUCCGACUUCGACUCAGGUCAUGAUCUCAUAGUUCGUGGGUUCGAGCCCCGUGUCAGGCUCUGUGCUGGCAGCUCAGAGUCUGCAGCCUGCUUCGGAUUCUGUGUCUUCCUCUCUCUCUGUUCCUCCCUGCUCACACUCUGUCUCUCUCUCUCUCUCUCUCUCAAAAAUAAAUAAAGCUUAAAAAGAAAAUUCCUGGCUGUUCUACUUUUGGUACUAUGUUAAGAAUCACCUGUUCUUCAUCCAUUCACCAAACUUCUAUUGCCCACCUGGCCUGUCUGGUGGUGGGCUAGCUGUUUGCUGGGAGCUGCCUUUUGCUGGCUGACCAGCUGACUGGGCAUGUCCUGGCUGUCCUGCUCUGGGCAGAGUGGGUGAGCAUUGCACCCCGUGGCCCAUUGUUCUGGCUAAUGUCCCAGCCCCCAGGGCUGAGUGCUACCUGGCAGCCUACCCAUCCGUGUUCCCAGCUUACCUGCCUUGCAGCUCCAUCCCUCAGUUGUACCGAGACAAUGAGCUGAAUGUAAUAUUUAGGCUUUGGAUUCCUGAGAAACUUCAGAACACAGACCAGCGGGGGGCAGAGCAGGAAAUCAGAUCGGAGGAUUAGAUUCUAGCUCUGGAAGUUUUGCUUUUGAAUGUUUGUACAUUCUCUCGUUGACCCCUCUUUUCCUUUGCCUUGUCAGAGAUAACGCAAGUCUAGUUUCAUACUUAGAUAAGAGCACUCCUGAGAAAACAGAGAAAGGUCAGGGGAAGAAUUCCCACCCAUUUUAUUGCCACAGGGUCAAGACAUUUGACACAAAGCGCCGUAUCACUCUGCAGAAUGGUGGUGGGUUCUGAGAAAUAGCCAUUUGAGAAAGGCUUUCCUGUGACACCAGUGGAUUUGGAAUUUCAUACAUCAGCUGGGAUAACCCUUGCCCCUACCUUAUUGCCUGUUCUGUUCUGCCUUCCACGAACAGUGACCCUCACUUUUGCCCUUCUUUGGGGUCAGUGCAGUGGGAGGACAUGAUCUGUUCCUACUAACAACACUUCUGACACCAAAUUUGUGUGCUUUUCCCCCAAGCCAACCCAUUCUUUGACUUUCUGGAUACCAACUGAGUGUCCUGCAAUUCAGUUCUUACACAAAGACCCGAAAUCAGUGCAGACCCAACAGAUUAAGGGCUCAGUCCCACCAGACUGCCCCACUUCAGAUGCUAAUCACAAGUACUGGGUUCUCAUGGUACCCACUUCUGUUUGACUUGGCUACAAGUUGGGGGCUCCCACAAUGCCUUAUUCAGGUUCAGUAAUUUCCUAGAAUGGUUCACAAAACUCCGACACUUUACGUACUAUUACUGUUUAUUAUAAAGUCUAUUGUAAAGGGUACAGAUCAACAGCCAGAUGAAGAGGUGCAUAGGGCAAAGUCCGGAAGGAUCCUGAGCAUAGGAACUUCUGUCCCCAUGGAACUGGGGUGUGCCACCCUCUUGCACAUGGAGACAUUCACCAACCCAGAAACUUUCCAAACCCUGUUGUCUAGGGAUUUUAAUGGAAGUUUUAUUAUGCAGACAUGGUCAGUUAUUAAUCCCCAGCCUCUCUCCCAUCUCUGGAGGUUGGAGGGUGGGGGCCGAAAAUUCCAGCUCUUUGAUCAUGCCUGUGUCUUUCUGGUGACUAGCGCCCAUCUGGAAUCUAUCUAGGAGCCCACCAAGAGUGGUUUCAUUAGAACAAAAGAUGCUGCUGUCACCUAGGAUAUUCCAAGUGCUUUAGGAGCUCUGGGUCAGGAAUCAGGGAGAAAGAACAAAUACAUAUUUCUUGUUAUUGCAGAGGGUGAUGCUGAUAAUGAUCUGGGCCUCCCUAUUUUCUCCUAAUUUCUUCUGGGCUGAGUGUAGCUUCCUGGCCCAUGCCAUUUUGGAAGGGUCAGCUGCCUGGGGACCAGUCCGAGGACACUCAGUAACCUGAGGCUACUCUCCCUUACCCCUGCCUUCCAACACAUACCAAAGGCAGGGCCACACCUGGGCCAAAGCUGUGUCUGCUGUACCUUUCAGUGAAAAUGCAGGCAUGAGAGGCAGGAAGUGGUGGUUGGGGCGGGGGGUGGGGGGUUGCUGUGGAACUUGUCUUGGGCAGAUGGGGAGCAGAGAUCUCCCUGCAGUCUCUGGGAACCCACUGACCGUGCGACUGAGCCCAGCCUCAGCCCCUGGGGAUGGGUCGAGGUGGGACUGGCUAUAAGAUCCUUGUAAGAGGAACUUCAGGUUUAGACAGGAUUAGUGCUGUGGAGAACAGAUGUCUGCUGUUUGGAGGUCAAGGGUGACUGAGUAGGAAGGAGGGCCCCCUACUUUAUGGAAUGGCCAUGGUGUGUGUCUAUAUUUAUUUUUCUAAAGAGUAGAAGGCACAGAUGAGAGGAAAUACACAAAAAGAGAUUUGGGAAGAGAUCCAGAUCCACACUUUAGCUUCAAUGGGUCCAUUGUGGGUCCCGGAGAUGGGAUUGCCCUGAGUUGGGGUGGGGCCUGUAGGGAAUCACUGGAGACAUUGGCAGAGGUCCCCCUGCAUGGAUACUUGCCAGGAUGUGUGAUCUCUGGUCUGUGGUUCACUGGGCCAAUGGCAUGGCUGGAUUGUGGUCUGGGGGAGGAUGGAGGGGGGUUCAGGUGGAGGGUGAGCUGAGGGCUCCGAGUUGCGGGGCAACAAAGGGGUGUCCUCGUACCCACCCACAGAUGUGUCAGCCUGAGCUAGGAAGCUGGCUUGGGUGGUGGUGAGAUCAUGGGCAGAUGGCCUCCUGGCCCCCCAUUGGCCCCAACUGAAGUCACAACAGGGGACUUGCCCACGAGGAGACCUUAGGGCCACCCUUCAGCUGCGGGGUGAGGAUGGCACCUUGGUCUCUGCCCUGCUGAGCUCAGAGAAUGCCCGCCUCACCCCUCCUCUGUCCCCCAUCUGGGCUGGCCUUUUAGCCUGCUUGCCUUAGGGGACUCUCGUGGGUGGGGCUGUGCCCUGUGGCCCCCCCACAACACCAGUGCAGAGAAAGGCCUGUUCCUGGGCCAAGCGACACCUGACCCCAGCAGAGCCAGAUCCUGUGGGGCAGCUGUAGGGAAGGGCUGGGAGUCACAGUGAACUGAGAGCAAGGAGCUGCGGGUUCUGGGCUGGGCUCCACCACUGACUGCAUGUGGCUGUCACUUCCCUUAGUCCUCCCUUCCAUAAAGUGAGACAUUGACCCGAAGAUCCUACUGUGACCUCUCACGGACUGAGGAGAGGGACCCGAGUUAGAGUCCUCCUGUGGAACACGUUUUCAGACUGGUGUGGGGAAAGAACAUCUGGAGUUUCCACUUGGGGUGCCUGGGUUGCACGUGCAUUCCACCUUUGCCACCUCCGAGGGGCUUCCGCACCUCCUCCUGCUCUUACCUCCCUCCUCUGUGUCCCUCCAGGGGAGUGUCUCGUCACAGGACAAUCCCACUUCAAGAGCUUUGACAACAGGUACUUCACCUUCAGUGGGGUCUGCCAGUAUCUGCUGGCGCAGGACUGCCAGGACCACACCUUCUCUGUUGUCAUAGAGACUGUCCAGGUGAGCUUGCCUGCCACGAGUCAGGAAGCUGUGACCGGGGUUGGGGCAAGGUGGUCCCGUUUCCUUCGUGAGCUGCUGGGGUACAUGCUCCAGAGACCGAAGCAAGGAGGGGAAAUCUAGAGGGCACAGGGCUCCCCGCUGAGGAUUGAAGUCCCAGACUGGCUUUGGAACCAUAGGCCCAAGAGUUCUUUAUAAAGACUGGAGCAGGACUGGGAAAGGGUGUGGGGAGCUGGGCUCAGGGCCGUGUUCUGGCACACCUCCAGGGGCCCACUCACAGAGACCGCUCCGUCAGAAUGGAGCUGCUUCUCCUAAGAAGGCCAGACGCUUUGUGGGGCUGUGCUCUUUCUCUGAGGAAAUGGGUCCUGGGCUGGGGCACUGGGCUGGGGUUGUGGUGACAUCACUCUGUGUGCCGCUCUUGGCAGUGCGCUGAUGACCCUGAUGCUGUCUGCACCCGCUCCGUCACUGUCCGCCUGCCCAGACUGCACAAUAGCCUUGUGAAGCUGAAGCAUGGGGGAGGAGUCUCCAUGGAUGGCCAGGACGUCCAGAUCCCUCUCCUGCAAGGUGUGCUCCCUCCUCCUCCAGGCCUGGGGCGGGUGCAGCUCACCUACAGAGCUCCUGCCCCUCAGCAGUGCUCACUGCCCACCUCUUCUGUGAGGAGAGCUAGCUUCAGAGGGGUGGGUAUCCUCUAUCCUCAGCAUGCAUCCUUUCAAGAAAGGAAGGCUUCCUGGAGGAGGAGGAGGAUGGGUGGAGGAAGCUGGCUGGAGGCAAGGGAGCUGCUCUCUGGCAUGGAAAGGGCGCAGAGGAGGAAAGGGGACCAAGAAGGUUUUCACUUGGCUUGAGCCAAAGGGGCGAGUUGAAGGUUGGGCACCGUGGUUGGAGCUCUCCUUUGAGGUGGGAAAGGAGCAGAGGCUGACGUGGAGAGGUUACGGGGUGGCUGGUGAUGGGUCAGACCAGAGGAUAUCGUGGGGCAAAGCCAGGCGACCCCGUGACCUGUGGGAAGAGCCGACCUGUCCAGUGACUUUGCCAGUUGGCACCACACCCUUUUGAGCAGCGUAAUUGCCACCUUCACCCUCAAAGUGGCUGUCAGAUCCUUCCUAUUUCUUUCCCAUGACCUUCAUGGACCAUGUGGCCCAUUAUCCUGGCAUUGACCACAGCACGUCCACCUGUGUUUAAUGCCGUCUGAGUCUCCCCAUGAGGUACCUUCCUCCAGGGCAAGAGAUUAUGUCUCCUACCUCGUCUCCAGUGAGAAUUGCUGUAUUCAACCACACAGCAUCGCUCAGACAUGACGACUGAGUAACUCAGCCUAGAAGUGGGGUGCAAGGCCAGAAGGGCUUGGGGAAUACUCAGGGGUCAGGGGUUCAAUGGGAGGCAGAGCCUCAGAAGCCAAGGAUGCAGAAGCCUCUGCCGCCUUCUUGUGGCAGUGGAGUGAAUGGCAGGCUACGGCCAGGGUACAGGGGCACCUUUCUACGGCACCCAAUUUGUACUACAUCCUGAUUAUCCCUUCUCCUUAGACCCCGUUAAGCCUCAAUGACAUCCCCAUCUGCCCCCAACUUCUUGAUUUCAUUGUUACAGUCCUUCGUGAGAUACCCCGUCUCUUCCCACUACACAUCUGCCUGUCACCACCCUGCCCUCUCCCCAUCUCAGCCUAAAUCCUGUCCCUGCUCUGUUCCAGGUGACCUCCGCAUCCAGCACACCGUGAUGGCGUCCGUGCGCCUCAGCUAUGGGGAGGACCUACAGAUGGACUGGGAUGGCCGUGGGAGGCUGCUGGUGAUGGUAGGUGCCCUCCCAAACACUGCUUCCCUGUAGCCUGGACCUUACAAAGUUCUUCUUGUGCUCUGGCAGAGCUCUGGCUUUAUGGGUGGGAGAAGAAUUCCUCUAUCCCCAGGCCCUACGCCCCCAGAAUAAGGAACAGGCCUCUCUUGUUUAUGAGAGGCUGGUGUUUGUUGUCUGGACACCCCUUGUUUGCCCUGGGGGUUCUCCCUUCUGGGGCUCUGGUACCCCAAGGCCCUCCAGACUGGGCUGGCUCCUGAAGGGCUAGGAGGUAGCCUUUGGCACCCAGCCUCCUGGCUGCAACAAAGCUGGGGAGCAGGGGGUGUCUCUCAGGGGUGCCCGCUGUAGGCAGCAAGGGAAGAGCCCAUCUGGAACUCGCAGCCAAGGUCCCCUGUUGUGCAUCCUGGGGGAGAAAGCCAUCCUACUGCCCAGUAAGUUUGCCCUGGGAACUGCCAAAUCCCUCCCCCUGUCCCUGGGUCUUUGUGGUCUGGGGGGCCACUUCCUUGUGUUCUCCGUGGCCCCAGAGUCACAUUUCGGUAGCAAUCCAUAGAUUUCAACAGGGCUUCCUCUCUGGAAAUUUCCCAGAGCAGAUGGGCAGUGUGAUUGCCACUGCCAUUUUUAUAAAUGAAGGAACCCAGGCUCAGGUGAGUCAGGACACGUGCCCAGGACUACACACGUGAUUGGUGGUGGAGUGGGGUCAGCUCUCUGGCGGUGUCAUUCCUGCUGGACCAGAGCUUCUCAUUUCUUGGUCUUCAGAUGACUUUGUACUCUUAAAAAUUAUUGAACACCCCAAGAUCUUUUACAGAGGUUGUAUCUGUCAACAUUUACCAUGUUGGAAAUUAAAUUAGAGAAUUAAAAUACAUACUUAUGAAUUCACUUAAAAAAAUAACAAUAAUAAUGUAUCGUAUGCCUGGAACUAAUAUAACAAUGCAUGCUAAUUACACUUCAAUUGAAAAAAACCCAAACAAAAAUAACAAUAAUAAAUCCACUACAUGUUAACAUAAACAAUAUUUUUUUUUGAAAAAUAACUAUGUUUUCCAAAGGAAAAAUAAGGAGUGAGAAGAAUAUUAUUGUUUUACAUUUCUGCCAAUUUCUUUAAUGGCUGGCUUAAUAGGAGACAGCUGGAGACUCGCAUCUCCUUCUGCAUCCAGUCUUUUGCAACAUUAUGUGUCAUGUAGCCUCUGGAAAAUUCCACUGUACACUUGUAAGAACAUGAGAAGGAAAAAGCUGAAUAACAUCUCUGUAUGAUUAGGAAAGUAGUUUUGGCCUUGUGGACACCUUGAAAGGGCUUCAGGGACCUCCAUGCCCCAAAGGGUCCCAAGACCUCAGUUGAAGACCAUAGCGCAGGAAGAUCUCGGAGAGCUUCUUGUCAGUCUCUACUCUGCAGUUAGAAAUAAAACCCAUCAUUUCUGGAGCAAGAAAGAACUCACCCUGGUCUCAUGGUCUUUUGGUUACAGAGUUAGGAUCAAAACUCAGGUCUCCUGACCCCCGACUAACUCACCUCCUGCACCCUGGUCUUCAGAAAGGGUGCCUCCCACCCUGCCAUUGGCCAUACCACCUUCUCUAACCUCUCAUGUCAUAGUAAGGGUGCUCUUAAUCUGAGGGCUGAGCCUACCUCUGGAACAAGCCAAGGGGACCCAGGGGACAGAGGAAGAUACUGUCUUAGUGGGGAUAGUGUGACAGCAGGCCUGGGGGUGACCAGAGGGACUUUGUGGGGGAAUGAGGGUACUCACGGUCUGGGAAUGAGGAGGAAAGAGAGGUUGCUGAGGCACAGGUGGAGGGAGUGAAGACAUCACCUGUUUCACUGCUCAGGUCAGGGCUGGCCUUGACCGCAGGCAUUGGGUUUCAGCUUGUGUCCUCAGAAGAACCUCAUUCAUUCACGAACUUGCUCAGUCAUUUGUUCAACACAUAGUUAGUGAGUGUUCAGAGGCACCAUUCUAGAGGACAAGGCUACAACUGUGAAACUCCGCAGACAAGGAUCCCUGCCUCACUUAAUUUAUGUUGUACUGGGGGAAGACAGACGAUAAACCAACCAAACCAGUAAAUUAUAUCGUAUAUUAGAAGGAAAUCCUGAGGAGGUGAAUAAAGCAGAGAAUAAAGCAAAAAGUGUCAGGGUCUGAGCAUUUACAUUUUAAGUAGGGAUGUUAGGGGGCACCUGGGUGACUCAGUCAGUUAAGCAUCUACAGCUCAGGUCAUGAUCUCAUGGUUCACAAGUUCAAGUCCCGCUGAGCUGUCAGCACAGAGCCUGGAGCCUGCUUUGGAUUCUCUGUCUCCCUGUCUCUCUGCCCUGCCCCACUCAUACUCUGUCUCUCUCUCUCUCUCACAAAAAUAAAAUUUAAUUUAAAAAAAUUAAAAAAAAAUAGGUCAGGGAAGGCCUGGGUGCCUAGUGUGGCCAAACUUGAAAUUUGUAAGGCAAACAGGGAAACGUUACUUUAUUCUCUUCUAAUGGCAUUUCCUUGGGUACAUUUUAUAUGGGUCUGGAACCUUCCACUAGAUUGUUCAUCUUGCAUGCUGUGAAGUCAUAGCUGGAAGCUGGAAGGAGCUCCAGGAGAUGUCUGUAGGAGCUCAGUUCUAGUGCAUGAUGGUUUCAACACAGGGAGGUCAUCUGGCUGUGUUAAUUACAUGCAGAGCAGGAGUCAGGAUUCUGGGGUCCCAGACCUGGUUCCAUCUUUGAAUCAGGGCCGUCUCAAUAGAAACCAGCAGCUGCCCCAAGCUGUAAAGUGUGAAAGGCAGGUUUAACUCCCCAGCUUGUCUGUGAGUAUGCACUUUGGGCUCAGAAGGACGGAGAACAAGCCACAUGCUGAUGGCCUAGAGUUUGACCCCCAGAACCAUCCUGGUCACCCAUAGUGGGCUGCCCCAGAUUCCUUGCUGACCCUACCUCCUCUGAUCACACCACCUAGAGUCCUCCUUGGUCAUGGUCCUUUCUUCCCAAUGACACUCAGCGGCUGAGUCAAAUUGAGAUGGGAAGGUGUUGUUCUUUGUCACUGGGACUACUUGGACCAUAAUGGACUCAGCCUGCUUCACCCACACGUGUGACCGAUAUAAGUGUUCAGUAAAGGGGUGCGGACUUUGCACUUGAUUCCGUGGGUGUCAGGGCUACCGCGUCUUCUCUGACAGGCGAGGGUGGCACAGAGCCCUCUGGACUAGGGCUCAACCUGGCUACUACUUCCAGCUCUGCCACCACCUCUGACCUUAGGCCAGUCAUUUUCCUCUCUGGGACUCAGUGUUGCCAUCUUUAAAUGGCUAGAUCUCUAAAAUGCUCUCUGGGGCUGAUUUAAGAGCAGGGAUGUUGCUGGUGGUAAACUUACACUACAGUUAGCUUUUCUUCCCUCUGCAGCCUCGGACUUGGCUACGGUUUAUUAAGUUCGUAUUUAUUUUUCACCUUGGGAGCUCUUUUUGAUUACAACUAUCUCAUUAGUUACUGGAAGCUGUGGCUGCUUUGGCCGCCACGGCUCCAGGGUAGUCUGCCUCUCCCUGCAGCUGUCCCCCAUCUAUGCGGGGAAGACGUGCGGCCUGUGUGGGAAUUACAAUGGCAACAGGGGUGACGACUUCGUCACGCCCGCUGGCCUGGCCGAGCCCCUGGUGGAGGACUUCGGGAACGCCUGGAAGCUGCACGGGGACUGUGAAGACCUGCAGAAGCAGCACAGUGAUCCGUGCAGCCUCAACCCGCGCCUGAGU
rnacentral:lncRNA from 1 species